UAAUAGUAAUCGUGAAUUUCCUGAAGGAUUAGAAUGCCCAAACCUUGAAUUUUUAUUUAUCUCUAUCAAAUAUUCUUCUCUUGAAAUCAAUAUUCCUGAGAACUUUUUUGUAGGGAUGAAAAAGCUUAGAGUUCUAGAUUUUACUCGAAUGCAGUUUUCUUCUUUUCCAUCUUCAAUUGAUCUUCUACCAAAUCUUCACACACUAUGUCUGGAUCAAAGUGCGUUGGGGGACAUAGCAAUCAUUGGGAAGUUGAAGAAUCUAGAAGUCCUUAGCUUUUUGAAGUCUGAUAUUAUGCAGUUGCCCGAAGAACUAGGUCAAUUGAAUAAGUUGAGAUUGUUAGAUUUAACAAAUUGUUUCCAACUGAAAGUUAUUGCGCCCAAUCUCAUAUCAAGCUUAACUCGACUAGAAGAGCUGUAUAUGGGUAAUUGCUUCAUUGAAUGGGAGGUUGAAAGAGCCAACAGCAAAAGAAGUAAUGCUAGCCUUGACGAAUUGAUGCAUUUACCUCGGCUAACCACUCUAGAAAUUGACGUUAAAAGUGACAAUAUUUUACCAGAAGGUUUUUUGGCCAGAAAGCUCGAAAGGUUCAAAAUAUCUAUUGGAAAUGGGUUAUUCAUGCAUCCCAUGAGUGUUGGACAACAUUGGUUUAAAAGUCGGCCGCGCUUUUCGAUCAACAGUGAUCGCAAGAGUUUAAGAUCAUUGAAGCUCAAGCUUGAUUUUAUGGACAUUUGCUCCAUGAAAUUGCAGGGCAUCAAUAACGUUGAAUACUUAUGGUUGGACAAGCUGCAAGGCAUCGAGAAUGUUCUUUUCAAUUUGGACACGGAGGGCUUUUCACAAUUGAAGCUUCUCUGGGUUCAAAAUAAUCCUGACGUCUUUUGUAUCGUCGAUUCAAGGGAGAUGGUCGCUUGUGAUGCCUUUCCUCUUUUGGAGUCACUUACCAUUCACAAUUUGAUCAACAUGGAGAGGAUAUGUAUUGAUCGGCUCAAAGUAGAGUCUUUCAACAAACUCAAAAACAUAGAAGCAUAUAAUUGUGAUAAAUUGAGUAAUAUCUUUUGGCUCUGUACUACAAAAUGCCUUCCAAGACUUGAGAGAAUUGCAGUUAUUAAUUGCAGCAAGAUGAAAGAGAUUUUUGCAAUUGGGGAAGAAGUUGAUAAUGCAAUUGAGAAGAUAGAGUUUGCUCAAUUAAGAUCUUUGAGUCUGGGGAAUCUUCCAGAGGUUACAAGUUUUUGCUGUGAGGUGGAGACUCCUUCAGCAUCACCGAACAGACAAGUGUCACAACACGAAUCGACGACUAUGUUUUGCUCCAGCGAAAUCACUUUGGAUAUUUCAACUCUGCUUUUCAACGAGAAGGUGCGUAGGCUAACAUUUUCUUUAUAUAUAUAUAUAUAUAUAUAUAUAUAACAGACUUUAUUCUAUCAUACGUUCUCUUUUGAUGUCAUACGUGGAAAAUAAAUACAUCAUUUAAAGAAUUGAAAGAAAAUGGAAAAAAAGGAUAAAAAGAAUCUCACGCGCUCACUAAUUAAGCUCUUAACAAGUAGUAUGAAUUAGAAUGCAUUCUCAGCUGUCAGUUGGAAAUUGAUUCUGACUUGCAUUAUUUUGUAAUCAAAGAAGAAAAUUUCAACAAGUGCUUCCCAUAUGGAUGGAUCUAACGAGAAAUUCUUAUUUUUUUAGGUUGCGUUGCCUAACUUGGAGGCUUUGGAGAUAUCUGCAAUUAAUGUCGACAAGAUUUGGCACUACAAUCAAAUUCCGGCGGCCGUGUUUCCUCACUUUCAAAGUUUAACACGAUUAGUUGUGUGGUACUGUGACAAACUGAAAUACAUAUUUUCAGCGUCUAUGAUCGGAAACCUCAAGCAGCUCCAACACCUAGAAGUACGCUUCUGUGAGGAUUUCUGAGAACAGAGCAGAUGAAGUGAUCCCUUAUUUUGUCUUUCCACAGCUCACCACUUUGAGACUCCAAGGUCUACCAAAACUUAGAUGUUUGUACCCUGGAAUGCAUACUUCGGAAUGGCCCGCGCUAGAAAUUCUUUCAGUGCAUCGUUGUGACAAAUUAAAGAUAUUCACUGAAGAUUUAUCGCAGAAUAAUGAGAACGAUCAACUUGGCAUUCCUGCACAACAGCCCCCAUUGCCGUUGGAAAAGGUAUGAAGCCAUUUUCUAGAUUUUUUGUCUACAGCUUAUUUUUAACUUUGAAAAAUAUGGCAAAGCAUCGAUAAAUUAAUACUCAAUAAAUUGAAAACUUUUAUUAUACAAUAAUCUUUGUUAGUCUAGAUUAAGAGAUCAAUGUGGUAGAUUAAUAAUUAUAUGAACUUUUUUUGGUAGAGCAUUUAUAAAAGAAUCCUUAGUCUUUCCAUAUAGAAGAACUUACAAAAUAAAUUAGUAAUUUAUUAUUGUGCAAUAAAAUAAUUUCGAGCCAGUAUAAAUCAACCUUUUUCCCUAAUUUCUUUUUUACCUCUAAAAUUAACAUAUAAAAUAAAUUUUAUCAAUAAUUCAAUUUUUUUAAAAUAUAAUAUAAAACAAAUAUUAUAAAGUCACUGCGUGUGACCGUAGAUCAUCAAUUGACCUCAUUAGUUAUUAUGAUUGAUGAUGAUCAGAUCGUACCCAACUUGAAGGAACUAUCACUAAGUGGAAAAGAUGUGAAGAUGAUUUUGCAGGCCGAUUUCCCACAACACCUUUUUGGCAGUCUUAGAGAACUAGAGAUUGCUGCAGAUGACACAGCUUGUUUUCCAAUCUGGAACGUACUGGAGAGAUUUCACAAUCUCGAAAUACUCACACUGUCUGUUUUUUUCAUUCGACGAAGAGGUAUUUUCGAAGGAAGGAUGCUUGGAGAAACAUUUGGGGAAGUUGGCAAUGAUAAAAGAAUUAAAGCUGUACCGGCCCUAUCAUCUGAAGCAGCUGUGCAAACAAGAUUCCAAACUUGGCCCCAUUUUUCAGUAUCUUGAAAUUCUAGGAGUAUAUCAUAGUCAAAGUCUGUUAAUUCUAUUGCCAUCAUCAUCGGUAUCUUUUCGGAACCUAGCAAAACUUGUAGCUUUCGGUUGCAAGGAAUUGAUACACUUAGUAACAUCCUCCACAGCAAAAACUCUAGUGCGACUGGUCAAAGUGCAAGUAUAUGGAUGCAGAGCAAUGACAGAGGUGGUAAUAAAUGACAAAGAUGGAGUUGAAAAAGAAGAGAUUGUUUUCUGCAAAUUGAAGACGUUGCAACUGUUUGAUUUAGAUAGCCUCACAAGUUUCUGCUCUGCCAAUUACACCUUCAAAUUCCCAUCUUUGCAAGAGUUGUGGGUGAUUGGUUGUCCCAAGAUGAAGACUUUCACUACAGGAGAAUCAAUCACGCCUCUAAGAGUAAACGUCUGCUAUGGAGAGACAUCGAAUCAACGGCGUUGGGCUAAUAAUGAUCUAAACACAACCAUACAACAAUUACAUGCUGAGAAGGUACGUAUAUACAUAUUACUCUCUAUCUCCCAUGAUAAUUUUUUACAAAAUUUGCUUUCUUAAAUACAAUAUAGAUAAGAUAUUUGAUGAAUAAGAAUUUUACUUUCAGCUGUUGGCGGUGUCGUCGUCAUACUCUACGCAGUACGACUAAUUUCAUAGGCUUCUUAUGACUUGGAGUUGCAAAUUUUUAGAAGAAAGUCUCAACUGGUAAUUAAUUUUUAUUUCAUUUAUUUAAUCCCAUGGCUUGUUUCGCAAUUUCAUCUGAAUUAUUUAGAAUGGGUCCCUCGGUUUACUGUUAAAUUUGCAAUGCAAUUUUAAUGAUCCUUUCAGACUUUUAUGGACAGAUUUUGCAUAGUUGAAUGUCUUUUUAGUCUACUUUAAUUUGAGUUUUUCAUUUUUUUUUUAGAGCUCCCCUUGUUUUCUAAAAUUUUAUAAUUCCUUGCAUACUUUUUAUGAUAAAAUUUCAUUAAAAGCCUUCAUAUUUUAUAAUUCAUUGAAAACGUGCAUACUUUUUCCUUUUUUUUCUUUGCCAAUUAUUUAUUGUCAUCAUUGCUGUUCUUUUAUUUUAGUUUGUGCUCUGUUUGUUCAUUGGGUUUGCUUUUCGGAAAGUUAGAAGGCAAGGAAAGUACUUAGAAAAUGUUCUUCCCUAUGAACACAUAAUUCACAGCUGAAUAUCAUUCAUUGGAUUCAAAAAAAUUAAAAUAAAAAAAAAAAGUAAUCAGCCCAUUAUUCCCAGAACAAAUCCUUAAACCAUCAAACGUUAGCUAUGAACAAGUAUAUUGGUCUAUAGCAUAUUCAUAAUAUUUUUUCUGCUGUUCUGGUUAAAAUUUCUCUACUCUGUGAUUGCAGAAUGUCUGGAUACUGAUGAAGAUUUAAGUCACUCUUCUUCUGUGAAUAAGGUCGUUUUUCUUUUUUCCUCUAUUCAAAAUUUCCAUUCUGAGGGGUUCCCAUUUCCAUCUUCGUGAUCUUCUUGUGAUAGUAUGAGUUACAACCUGUCUGUUUCCUUUAUUUGAUCAUCGCAAGUUCAAAGACAUUUUAUUCUAGCUAAGCUCUUUGUAUGUAUUAUAACAUUUUUAUUCUCAAUAUAUAGAACUCAAUGAGAGGUCUUUUAUUAUACAUGUGUCAUGAAUUUCUAUUGUAUUUUGAGAUUUGAUGGUGUGUUAUCGUCCCAUUGCAAGGUCUUGUAAUCACUCUGAUUCUCAUUUGAGGAGGUUGGUCUCGUCUAUGUGUAUGUAUUUAUAUCCACAAGAAAUUUGAUAAAUGGUCUGGUCAUUUUCUCAUUAAAACAUCUAGUGCUUCAUAUGUUGGAGGGCUACCAGGCAUCAGGGCCAGAUUUUUAAACUCUUCUUCGUGUCAUUUUUUAACAAUAAUAAGGAAGCCCAAGAGAAAAUCUAGAAGUCCUAAUAAGGACCGCUUCUGUAUUGUUCAUUUUCUUAAUUACCUUCAUUAUUAUUUUCGUUUUCAGUUGAUCAAACUUCAGUUCCUUAGCAUUAAUCUAAUUAUGUACUUCAUCUAGAAAUCCUUAAUUUACUCAUCAAAAUGUGAACGCUUAGAAAACUAAGGCAAUAAAUAUAAAGGUACUACCUAAGUUUAUCAUCACAUAUGAUCACCACUUGAUAAUCAAAUAAUCAUAAAAGCAUAUAAAUUCAAAUUAGUGUAUCAUUUACACUAUAAGAAAUAGUUGUAUUACCGACCAGACAUUUCCACAAUAUACUUUUUACACUAUAAAUGCUUUUGAUGGGCUUCAUCUUUGGUUUCGGCUUCGCCGACAAAUAUCUCACAAACAUUCUGCCUUCAAGCAACAACACAACUCCCACUCUAAAUGUAUUUUAUACACUCUCAAACGCACCGUUUUGAUUUGUGUUAUAAAUUUGACGCUGCCAUUGUUUUUUUGUUUUUGACAGGCAUGGCUUUUCUUUUUAAGCCUUUCCUUUUAUCUUUUAUAGCCAUCUUCCACAUCAUUUCUCUUCCAAGUAAUCUUAAGAAAUAUUUCUGUUCUUCUUCCAAGUAAUCUUAUCAUUUCUCUCAUUUUAUUCGUUCUUCUCUUUUCAAGUCUUCAAUCUUAUACUCAGUAAAUAUAUUAAACUGCUUUUUCACUUCAGUUCCAGACAACUGAGAAGGUGUUUGUCCCUACUCUCUAGUUUUAUUCAAAGACACUAUAUUUUCGAAACCUAUGAUUUGUUGGGAAAAAUCGACGGUGACCCACGUGACAAAAUUUUCUACUAUGUAUCAACCAAUUAGAUCCAGUGCUUUGUUGGCAAACAAGACAUGCUUAUUUACCUUUAAUACUCCACCCAGACAAGUUGCCACUGAUAGUUCAUAACAAUGCUACGUGUAACUUGAACAUUUGAUUACGUGAUGUACUGUAUCAUUCCAACCAUAUCAUCAUCAGCCACUUCCCUUAUAACGAAAUAUAGAUUACAACACUUAUCAAGAAGGACAAUAAAUUCUUGUACCACCAACAACAUUCUCAAAUACAAAAUCUAUAAAUUUUUCAACGCCAUCAGUAUAUGACUUGGAUAUCUAUUUGGCAAACCAACCCAACACUUGUCCAUGACUAUCUCCUUUUAAUGCGCUAAAAAAAUUAGUUCUUCAUUUCUACUACUAAACAAGAUAUUUUCGUGUGUGCACAGUUUUGCAAUAUAAUAAAAAGAUCAUUUUACAAUUUUAUGGUUAAUUUCAUUAGAAUUUACAUAUAUGAAAGCAAACAAAGCCACAAGAAUCAGAGAAAAAGAUGUGACAAUCAAAGUAUAUAAUCAACGAUAAUUAAUGUAAAAAACAGUUUCCAAUACCUUCUGUAAAGAAAUAUCCUUGCCAAGUGCUGAGAACUUCACUUGGCUAUCAAUUACAGAUAUAUAAAGCCUGUAACCUAGAAACAAAAAAUUAGGUCAGCAAGUCCUGAAACAUUUUUAUAAACCAACAUUGGAGAUAGCACUCCAUUUACAAACAAAAUUACAAGCUCAAAACCAAGGUCAACUCAGCAAAAUCAUCACCAAUUACAUUCAUCCAACUCAGCUCCUACACUACCCUCAAUAUAUCCAACAUUCCCUUCAUAUUUACCAACCGUAAGUAAUCCUACAUAUCCCACUCAAGAAUGCGUAAGUAUUUUCAAUCUCAAGUACCUAAAGUUUUAUUCUACAUUUAUAAAAAUUUCAGCACCAUCUCCCUAUAAUUCUCCAAGCACGCGACAUAGCUAUAUAAGUGUUUAUGCGUUAUGCCAAAACAACACAACACCCAUUCACCUAGUACGUUCCCAGAGAACACGAGGAGCAGCUACUGAAAAACCCAUUUUUACGUGGGAAGAAACUUCAGCUACUAGCUACCAGAGAGAAGUAUGCAUUCCCAAACUGUCCAAGCCCGGACAAUUCAAGAAUUAUUAAUAGACAUAUGAUCCUCACUAUCAUCCAAAUAUGACACUAAUAAAACAUGUGUCUAUUAAUAAUUUCUUAAACAAGUCUAAGCUUUUAAUGCACGUAUCAAAAGUUUAAAAUUGAAUCUGAAAUUUGAAUAACACAUAAAUAUCAUAAAUCUUUUCAAGUUAUUCCUGAUACAAUGUAGGCAUGUAGCAUUAUUUCACAUAUCAUUUCUUAAGCAAAACCAUAAAAAAAUACAAAUGAUAAAUACAUUUUCGUACUGAUGCAGAUUAUGUUUACUGAGCAAUAAGUUUUAAGUCAUUCAUGUUGAAAUACUUCUUCCUAUUCUUUCAACAUAUAACUAGUACGUACACACAAUUAAUAAAUAAAUAAAUAACCUGGUGGUGAAUCUUGCAAAAUCUUCCUUUUUUUUGUGGGGGGGGGGGGGGGGGGGGGGGGGGGGGGGGGGGGGGGGGGGGGGGGGGGGGGGUGGGGGCGCUAUGAAUCUUGCAAAUCCUCGGGAAGCCAUGUUAAGACAAGGCCAGCUUACUAUUAGGGUAUGAAAGAUAAAACCUUUUAUUUCCUUUUCAGAAUAAAAAGGACAUUGACAGUGUUAAAAAAAAUCUAGAGGAUUUCAGGCCUCCAGAUCCUUACAAAUCAAGGAUAUUAAAAAAAAUUACUUAGAGGAGAAAGGUUAUGCUCAUUUGUAUCUUGUUAGAAGAAAUUGAUCCAAAGCCUCAGUUUUAAUUUGCUUCAUACAGCCAAUGACUAGGUGUUUAAAAACCAAUGAAUAUUUUUAUAAGAAAUCAACAAUAUUGUUGAAAGAAAAACCAAAUAAAAAUAAUAAAGCCAAUGAAUAGAUCAAGGCUCUUUAUGGUCUAAUAACUAAUCAAACUAAGUUGUGGGCAAAGGCGAAUAUGUUUGUUUGGUCGAAAAUAAGCUCAACAAAUCACUAAUAAUCACCUAAUCACUAUUCUUUAUGCUAUGCAAUAUAAUGGCCUGGGUAAUGGCGCCAAGGCAGAAAAUAACUAGCUAGCCAGUUAUGAUAGUUGAUUAACUUAACCUACUGGAAAUCCGAAGACCAAAACGAAGAAGCUUUGCCUAGAACUAGAAUAGGAACAUUCAUACCCAAAACUAAUAUACACGAUUAAGAAACUUGAUUAUAUGUAUAUUUCUGUUGGCCACACUGAAAGAGAAUUUUCAAAAGAUGCUAAGGUACACCAAAUCCCACUAUUUCAUACUCAUAAACACAAAAAACCAAGGAAAAAAUUAAUGACUAUAUAAAAUAAAAUCGGUCAUAGGACAUUGAGAUUAGGACAACUUGAUUUGUAUACCGUAAAAUAACUAUAUCUGCAUAGUGAACUAUAUUUCUGUUAGAACUCUGAAGUUUUCUAUUAAAUUUUUUUCUCUGUUAGGUAAACCACUUAACUGAAAUGCUUAAGCCAAUAUUGACAAUCAUAGACAUAAAAGUAUUAAUAGGCUCAUUCAAGUGAAAUGAGCAUUAUUUUACACAUCCUUUAGGAUUUUAAGUCAUUUAGAAGUCAUUCAUGUUAAAAAAAAAAAAAAUUCAUAUACUUUCAAUAUAAUUAGUACAUACACAAUUAAUUAAUUAAAUAAAUCUGUUUCAGCUAGUAUAGGAACUUAAUUAAUCAAAGCUAGUAGUUAUAGCUAGGACUUGAACGAGGCACCUUUCAAAGUUCAAGAAGAGCAUCUGAACAGAAUGAAAGCACUUUGUAGAAAUGAUAAUGAUGCUUUACACAAUAUGAACUUUCAUUUAUUCAAGAACAUAACACUACUCCAAGCUCUUAUUCUACGAGUCAAUCCAGUUUGUAGAUGCACGCCAUUGUAAAAGCUUUUGUAUUAUAAUUUCUGAAAAUAGAACAUAACAUUAUUAAUAUAGAAUCAGCAAUGUAUAUAACUUAUCAGACAAUAUAACAAGCACUUGGUGAGCAUACAAGAUAAACCAAAACAAGUUAUCUAGAAAAUGAAACUAAAACCCAAGCUCCGCUAUUCAUUGUAGAUGCUUUAAACAUAAAAUUAAACUAAAUCUAAUAGCAAAACAUUAGAAUGGAUGUUGGAAUUAAAGCUAAAUUCAAUAGUAAUUCAAAUGAAUCCAUUUGAACUUUGUAAAUUCCGCAGAACAAAAUUAAUUUGAGUGAGCAAACUCACCAAUGGAACAAGAACGCAGGGGCUUCAACUUGUACGAAUAAAAAAAUAUUGCUGGCGGGACAAAAAUUGACAAUAACGGCUACAAUACGAAUUAAAAAAAAUCAAAGUCUAUAAUUACAAGUUAAGUAAGAGAAGAAACUCAUAAUCACAAGCUUACCUCAAAAGAUGAAGGGAGAAUACGAUGAAGAAGAAGAUGCCCGGCGUUUUACGCCGUUCGCUGGCAACCAGUUAUGUUUACGAUGGUGGCCAGUAACACGGACUCCAGCGAAUACUUUUCUAACUGGAAAUAAAUUUAAAAUUCUAAAAUAUUAGUAUACCGAACGGCUCUUCACCGUCACGCAGUUCGUAACAUAUGUGACAGCAGUGUGGCCGUCACAUAAAGGGUAACAAAAGCAACUCGGGGUUACAGAGUUAGAAGUUAGUGAUAUGCGUAAUGGCUGCUUUUGCAUUCACAUUAGGGGUCACAUAUACCCUAUUUUCUUGUAGUACAUGGUAAAUUCUAUUUGAAAAUUGCUCAGUAUUUUAGAUUUGUACGAAAUCAUUUUUGUGUGCUCGUUGGAUAAUAAUAUAUAAUAAAUUAAAAUUUUAGUGUAAUUUUCACAAUAUUGUAUUAGAAAUAUGUCUCGUUGAAAGGUUUUGAAAUCGUUUGAUUGAUCAUAAUUGUUAUUUCGACAGUUGCAAAAGAUGCCAGAGAAAAUUUGAUUAUCUUAAGAAAUGAGUGCAUGAGAUAUGAAAUCAACCAUACCAUAAAAUCAAAUUUUAUCGUUUCAUUCUUCCUGGUUCAAAUUUAUGGAAACAAUAAUCAAAUGCACCCAUGAACUAGUAUAUUCCGACAUAUGUACCAUCAAAUUUUUGCUAUAUCAUACUUAUAUAUGUAUAUUGAAAUUUUAAUAACAACAAUUGGGCCAAGCGUAUGUUGGUACUUGAAGAUUUAUAAGCUCCAUCCUUGAAAAAAUAAGGCUUGAUUGUUCUCAAUCUAAUUCUUUUUGUUUUAAGUUCUUAAUUAAGCUUUCUUGCUUGUUUUCAAGAGCCAGUUUUGUAGUGAUCGAAAAACAUGAUUUGCAUGUAAUGCACUUGGCAUUUAUGCGUCACUUAUUAAUUAGAUUUAAAUUUUAUAAAUUAGUUAAGCUGAUUAAUACUGUGCAUGUGCACUAAAUGAUAAAUACUACAUAAAUUGGUAGGAGUGGGCAAAACCGGGUUCGGGUCGGGUCGGGUUCGGAUCAACCCGAUCGGAUUUCGGGUUGUUCGGGUUUAACAAAAAUUAAUCCGAAUACAACCCGAACUUCCCACCCGACCCGAUCCGAUCCGAUUUAUAUUCGGAUUGGGUCAGGUCGGGUUGUGAAUUCAGGUUGAAAUCGGGUAGGAUCGGGUUGACCAAUUUCCUUGAUUUUGUUACUACCAUUUAAAAACACAUAAUUACAACAAUUAAAUACUAAAUAUUAAUUGUUUAAUUUAACCAUAUGCACCAUCAAUUCAAAUCUUUAAAAAAAAAAGCUUAAAAAAAGCGUGAAAACUCAAGAUUCAAAGUCAAAGGUGAGAAGCUCGGGUUGAAGGAUUGGAGCAGCAGAAGCACCUUGCAGCAGAUUCGCGGCACUUGCAGUAGAUCGGUGGCCGCGGCACUUGUAGCAGCAGACCGACGGACGCGUAGUAGCAUAUUGGCGGCACUUGCAGCAAAUCGGGCAUGGAGACGCGCGGCAAAUCGGCCAUGGAGAUGCGGGUGAGGCUGUGACUUGUGCAACGACCUCCGUUGGCAGCUUGGCGUUGGCCCAACGCCGUUGGGGGUGACUGUGUAUGUGUUUUGUGUAUUGAGAUUGGGGAUUGUGUAAUGAGAUUGGGGAUUGAGGAGAGUUGUGAGUGUUUGUGUAAGUAACCGUGUGUUGUGAAAAUGGGAAUUGUGAUUUGUGUGUGCUGCGUGUGUGUGGCUGUUUGCUUUAGGUUUAGUUUUUUUUUUUUAUAGCAACCCGAUCGGGUUUCGGAUCGGAUCGAACCCAAUCCGAUCAUAACCCGAUCGGGUUUCAUUGUUUUGAUCCGAUCGGGUUUUCUGCACAACCCCAUCCGAUCCGAACCUGAAAUUUUUCGGGUCGGGUCGGGUCGGAUCGGGUAAUUUGCCCACCCCUAUAAAUUGGGACACUAGUAACUAUGCAUCCCAACCAUGUAAUAUUUAUUUGUCACGAAACCAACCACGACAUGAUAUUCUUAAUAUUAUUUAGGAUACCAUUUCAAGCCCCAUGAGGGCUCCUUCCGUUAAAUAAAAAAAAAAGGUAUGAAAUAGGUGUAGAUUUUACUUUAGAUAUUAUUAGUGAGAGUACCUUUGGUGGCAAUGGUCCGAGAUGAUUUGGGAUUUGACCAUUCUACUCUCAUCUUAAUUAUCAAAUGGAAUGUAAGUAUGGAUAAACUCGUCCUGUUUAUAUAUUUGUGAUCAAAAUUAGGACCAAUCUCAAACCCCUCACAAUCAUUUAUAUUAUUGCACCAGUUUAACAAUAAGAUUUACGAAACACAUACGACUGUUUUUAUAACUAAAAGUAUUUUUAAGCUACAAGAUUACCAAAAUGACCCUAAAUCAAACCAAUAAAAAUGUUUUAAAGUAAUAAUAAUAAACCAGAGUAAACGUACAAAAAUUCAUGCAUAAAUUGAUAAUCAACAAAAACAUCCAAAAGUUUAACUCCAAGUUUUCUAUUCAAUUGACAUAACCCUUAAAUUUCAAAAGGUAUAAUCAAUUUUGUGUCUAAUCCUAUAAAAUUAGAAAAUUAAAGAAUAUUAUAUAUUGAUAAUUAAAUAAUAUGCAAUUAAUAAUGUUUAAAAAAAUAAUGUUAAACAUAUUGUCAACUAAAAUAAUUGGGAGAAUUGGAGUUCCAAGAUAAAUUCUUAUCUAGUCCCAAAUCAACAAUUGUGAUUAAUUUCAAUCUUAAACUUUGAAACUCGGACUGCUUUUAAAAUUGGUCCUAAUAAUAUGGACAAAUCCCAUUCUGAUCAAUAUGGAAUCCCAAUCCAUACCUUUGGAUUUCGAUGGUGUUUAGUUGGAGGGAGGAGAGGAAGGAAAUGAAUUCAAAUUCCUUUCACUUUCCUGUUGUUUGGUUUUCACUAAUAAAUGGGAAUUCAAUUUCUAUUGAAAUUUAAUUUUCAUCAAAUUGUGCAUUUUGGAUUCCUCACCGAAGGCUGUAAAAUUCAAAUUCCCUUUCUAUUAGAAAUCGAAUCUUCCAAAAUUGCUCCAAUCAAAUUUUUAUCAAUUAUUUUAAUUAUUAUCAAAUAAUUCUUAUUUAUGAUUUUAUUUUUUCAAUUUAAAUUGUCACUAAGGAGUCGGACUUACUACCACAGAAAAGAAAAAAAAUAAUUUAGUCAGCUGAACUAAUUUUUGUUUUUUUUUUUUUUUAUUAACUUUGAAAUAUUGCAUACAUAACGAGCUGCUAUUGAAAUUAGUGUUAAAAAAAAAAUAGAUGCAAAAGGAGAAACAAGCAUCAUGUGCAGUACCCACUGUGAAAUAUUCACAUUGGAAUAAGUCGUUGGCAGCUGGUCUGUUUGGCCAUUAAUAUUUUGACAUUCAAUGUUCAUUAUGAUCCUAGUAAAUUAAGCCAUAAAAAAUCUAUUGAAAUUACUCACCGUACAAUGAUGGUUGGAGCUGCAUGUAUCAUUUAUUGUUAACAACAAACUUAUGAAAUGCUUUGAAUGUACCUCCGAGGUUGUAUUUACUAUACUAGUUAGGAGAAAUUACGAAGUUAAAUUAUUUGAUAAAUACUUAUUAUAAUUUGAAAAAUAUGUUAAUUUUGUCCUCCACUUUAUGAUAAAAAAUUUAUAAUAUAUAUAAAUCAUUCAUUCUAUAAUCUUGAAUUUUAUUAAAGUUAGAAAAACUAUUACUCUACAUGAUAUAAUAGUGUGAUGUUAUUACACUAUUAUACCAUAUAAAAUAUAUUUACUUUCUUAAAUUUUAAUAAAGUCUAGGUCUUGGAGAGAAGCACUUUAUAUAUAUAUGUAUAUAUGAUUAUUGUCUAGUGACAACAUUCUCAUUUUAACAAAGUGAUGAUAUAUCUAACUAAAAAACGCAUAUUUCAAUACACCAAUAGAUUAAAAAAAAUACAGUUUUUAAUAUGUUAAAAUCUAUAUAUUUUGUAUUAUUAAUAUUUUCACUUUAACAAAGUGGGGUCUCCUCACUAUAGAAGUACUUUAUAAAUAUUCUUUAUAUUUUUGUGAAAAUUAUUAUUUAAAAGUCAUAUUUUCCUAAAAACUAAUAACUUUUAUUUUAUUACUAUGCUGUACUUUUCAAGACAUAACACCUCAAUACCAUGACGUUAAUUAUUGAACUCUGCUGUACAAAGUUGUUGGCUGGUCUAUUUAGCUUAGUCUUUCAAUUAUUUGUCGUUUGAACUGAGAUGAUUCGAAUAAAGCUGUAUAUCAAUAAUUUCCUAGUGAAACUUCGAGAAAAAAUAAAAAUCAUGUCAUACAGUAGCAUUAUUUUUAUUUUCAGCUUGAUUAUGUUUUGAGUUAACUUAUAGAUUAUUUGAAAUAAAAAGAAUAUAAUUUAUUUUUUCUAACUAAAUAUUUUUAAAUAAUUUUGUUAAUUUAAUGAGUAAUUAUACACUUACAAAGUUAUGAUAUAAAAUUAUAUCCCUGAAUCCCAAUCAUAUGACACCAAUUAACUACUGCUAUGUGUUUCUUAGUAUUUAACUUUUUAUACUAUUAUUAAUGAGAUAAUUAUCUUCAACACCAAUAAAUAAAUUUUAUAUUAAUACAUCCUCUGACUUUAUUAUCAAAUGAUUAUAAAUCAUAAUCAAACCAAGCUACCAAAGCCUACUACUAAGAGAUUGAUUAAAGGGUUUUCCAAGAUUUCAAAUUGGAUGAAACUAUGGUGCAACGGUUGCACCGUACUACUCAAUUUUGUCUUUUUCAAUUAAUUACAUCUCAAUACCUAUAUUUUAUAAAAAAGUUGAAUAGACACUAGAAGUUACAAUUUUUUAUAUAUGAGUCCUCUUUUGGGAUAAAAAUGGAUUUUAAAAAAAUUUAACUGUUACUAUUAUUAAUAUUUAUAAAUUUCAUUAUUAUUAUAUUAAUAUUAUUGUUAUUAUUAUUAAAAUUUAUUAUUUUAAUUAUUGUCAUGUAUUAUUAUUACUACCAUAAAUGUCAUCAUUAUUAAUAUUAUUAUUAUCAUUAAAAUUUAUUAUUUUAUUAUUUUAAUUAUUAUGUAUUAUUAUUACUGUCAUUAAUUAUUAUUAUUAUGAAAUUAAUUUAUUUUAUUAUUUUAUUGUUACAAUUACUUUAAUUAAGUCAUUAUUAUUAUUUUAUUAAUUUUAUUACUAUUAUUAAAUAUAUUAACUUUAUUAUUUUAAUCAUGAUUAAUUAUUGUUAUUAUUAUUUUAUUAAUAGUAAUAUUAUUAAAAUUAUUAAUUUUAAUAUUUUAAUUAUUGUCAUGUAUUAUUAUUACUACCAUAAAUGUCAUCAUUAUUAAUAUUAAUAAUAAUAUUAUUAUUAUCAUUAAAAUUUAUUAUUUUAUUAUUUUAAUUAUUAUGUAUUAUUACUAGGGGUGGGCACGGUUCGGUUCGGUUUGGUUCGGUUCGGAUCGAAAUUAAGUAGAACCGAUUUAAAUCGGUUAUUUUAUAAAAAGAACCGAAUAAGAACCGAACUCAAACGGAUCUUUUCGGAUCGGUUCGGUUCGGUUCGGUUUUUUGGUUCUAGGUCUAUUAGGCCUAUUUUAAAAUUUCAAAUUUUUAGCCCAUUGGACCUCAUAAAUGUAAUAAUUGUUUUCAACAAUUAGUUCAUCCUAAUUUCAUUACAAAUAUUAACAAUAAAUACAAAGUAUUCAAAACACAUUUUAUCACUAAUAUCUUAUUAACUACUAAUAAGGUACUCACAAAAUAUGAAAUAUUAAAAUUUCAAAAUACAUAACCAAACUCCAAUACUCCAUCUACAUAAACAUAAUCAUAAUGUUGUAAAGACAAAUAAAAAUAACAACAAUUACAACUUACAACACAAAAUAAAAAGAAAAUUUAGAAACAAACGCCAACAACAUUCUCCCAUCUUCACCCAAAAAAAAAAAUUGCAAACAAAUGCCAACAACAUUCUCCCAUCUUCAUGAAUAUCAACAUCAACUUUAGGCAUUUUCGACUCAAUAUUUGGAUUUAUAAAAAAAAAUUUAACACAUGUCGAUUUGAAUAAAAUAUAAAAUUAAUUCGGUUUUUCGGUUCAGCUAAGUGAACCGAAUACCGAACCGACAUUUCGGUUUUUUUUUACAAAUGAUAUAUUUCGGUUUUUUUUAAAAUAAAAACCGAUCCAAAUUCGAAAAAACCACCGGUUCGGUUCGGUGUUUUUAAGACCACGGUUUUUUUGCCCACCCCUAAUUAUUACUGUCAUUAAUUAUUAUUAUUAUUAUGAAAUUAAUUAAUUUUAUUAUUUUAUUGUUACAAUUACUUUAAUUAAGUCAUUAUUAAUUAUUAAUUUUAUUACUAUUAUUAAAAAUAUAUUGGCUUUAUUAUUUUAAUCAUUAUUAAUUAUUGUUAUUAUUAUUUUAUUAAUAGUAAUAUUAUUAAAAUUAUUUAAUUUUAAUAUUUUAAUUAUUGUCAUGUAUUAUUAUUACUACCAUAAAUGUCAUCAUUAUUAAUAUUAUUAUGAAAUUACUUAUUUUACUCAUUAUUAAUUAUUAUUAUCAUUAAAAUUUAUUAUUUAUUAUUUUAAUUAUUAUGCAUUAUUAUUGCUGUCAUUAAUUAUUAUUAUUAUGAAAUUAAUUAAUUUUAUUAUUUUAAUUGUUACAAUUACUUUAAUUAAGUUAUUAUUAUUUAUUAAUUUUAUUACUAUUAUUAAAAUAUAUUAACUUUAUUAUUAUUAUUAUUAUUAUUAUUAUUAUUAUUAUUAUUAUUAUUAUCAUUAAAAUUUAUUAUUUAUUAUUUUAAUUAUUAUGCAUUAUUAUUGCUGUCAUUAAUUAAUAUUAUUAUUAUUAUAAAAUUAAUUAAUUUUAUUAUUUUAAUUGUUACAAUUAUUUUAAUUAAGUUAUUAUUAUUUAUUAAUUUUAUUACUAUUAUUAAAAUAUAUUAACUUUAUUAUUAUUAUUAUUAUUAUCAUUAAAAUUUAUUAUUUAUUAUUUUAAUUAUUAUGCAUUAUUAUUGCUGUCAUUAAUUAAUAUUAUUAUUAUUAUAAAAUUAAUUAAUUUUAUUAUUUUAAUUGUUACAAUUACUUUAAUUAAGUUAUUUUUAUUUAUUAAUUUUAUUACUAUUAUUAAAAUAUAUUAACUUUAUCAUUUUAAUUAUUAUUAUUAUUUUAUUAAUAGUAAUAUUAUUAAAAUUUAUUAUUCUAAUUAUUAUAUUAUUAUUAAUGUUGUCAACAUCAUCAUCAUCAACAUUAUUAAAGUUUACAUAUUUUUUUGUUUUAAGUAAUAUUAUUGUCAUUAUUAUUAUUUUACCUUAAGUAAAUAUUUAAAAACUUUUAGUUUUUAUGAUUUUGUAACUUACGGUCAGACUGUGAAAUAGUUAGAUAAUCAUUAAUUAUUAUUAUUAUUAACAAUUUAAUAAAAAUAUUAUUAAUUAUUGUUAAUAGAUUAAUUAAUUAUAAUGUUUUUUAUUCUUGUAUUAAUAAUAAAAAUAAUCUAUUUAAAAAAUAUUUAUGAUUAUAAUAAAAUAACAAUUAUAAUUAUAAUUCAUUUAACAAUAAUUAUAUUUUUUAAAUAAUGGAGGUUAUUUGGAAAAUUUAAAAUUAUAGGGGCAAAUUCAUACUCUAGGGUUUUAAUAAAAUAAAAUUGAGUAUAAGGGGUUAAACGAAAUUUUAUAUUUCAAAAAGUUUAUAAUAUUCAUGAAUAAAAUAUAAAUAACAUAGAAUAUGGGGGGUUAUAUAAAAUUUCACAGGCUGACCGUAAGUUACGUUAAAUGUAUAACUUAGGCGGACCUUUAGUGAAAUGCACAAAUGGCACAAGGGACCCCGCCAACCGUUAAGUCACAUCAUUUAUUUAUUUGUGAAUGAAAAAUAAGGUCCUUAUGCUAGUUUGACGAUUAUAAGUUAUCAUCACAAGGUUGUUGGGCGCAUGCAUACUGAGUCACAGCACUGAGAUUCAACUUUUCUGUACAAUAAGAGUUUAUUUGUCUUUUUGUAUUGGGAUAAAAUGGAUCUCCCUCCAACUUUAAGUAAGGCUUAAUAUUCAGGCUGUGCUGUAAUAGAAUUAUUGAGGAGAGUUUCAUUUUUUAUUGUAAAUAUCAGUAGAGCUCUCAUUGUAAUAUAUCAGUCUAUCAAAAAAAAGUUAUCAUCCCAAUAACUUUGGACUUUGAUAUUAAUUUUACUAAUUAUGAAAUUCAUUAUCUAAUAAAAAAAAUAACACAUAACAAUUGGGUCUCAAAUUAGAAUUCUACUAUCGAAAUUCCUAGCAUUAUUCUAAUAUUAAAAAUUCAUCAAAAUAAUAUCUAUUAUCUAAAAAAAUAAAAUAAAAAUCUAAAGCCAUAGAUUUACUUUUCAAUCUUCCUGAUUUGGCUGAUUUCUUUUAAAGCUUUGGUUUCUUUAUAUUUUUAUCGAUCAUUUUAGCGGUGCUGGCAUUUGAUUUUUUUGACUAAGCUACUGUUUAGUUCUAAGUUUUGGCAAUUGCCCGGACUGCUCUGUUUUGUGUAUCUUCGACACAACAAGGCUUAGCAUCUAAAUGUCGGCAGCCACGCAACUUCUUGGAAUCUUCGUGCAAGUGUUGGAUAUCGACUGUUCGAUAAUGAUGGCAGCAUGGGACUGGAGUGUAAUUGACGCAGUGGAAUAAAGAUCACAUGUCUCAAACUUUUGGCGAAGAUAUUGUCAGAUAUUUUAUUGAUUAAGGAUCACAAAUAAUGGAUAUUGGAUGAGAAUCACAUGCUUUACCACAAUCGUAAUGUUACUAAUGUAAGUCAAGCAAUUAUUUUUAAAUAAUGAUAUUAUAAUUAAAAAAUAAAUAAAUAUUUAUAAUAUUUAAAAGAGUAAUUCCGAUUAUUAAUUUUUUUAUAUUACUUAAUUAUUAGCUGACAAAUAAUUAAAAGGUUAUAGAACAGGACUCAGCUACCUUACAACAGUUGCAAGGUACCACCAAAUUUUGACUUUUCUUAAUUUCAGUUUUUUAUCAUUAGAUUUAAUGAAAAGGUGGUUUCAAUGGUAGAGAUUUGUUCAUUUAAAUAUUAACAUUACACUCCUUGAUAUUUAUUAAAGACACAAACAAGUUAAAGAGUUUAAAAUUUUAACACAUAAGUCCGGAUUGUUUACAAUUUAUAUUGUUUAAUUAGUAGUGAGUAUUAAAAAAUAAAUAUUAUUUUUAAUAUUAUAUAUUUUAUUUAAAAGAAUAAAUAAAUAUUAUUUAAUAUUAUUUAUUCCAUUUUAUUUAAUAUUAUUUAGUCAUAUACUUAUUAUUAUAUUUAUUCUUUCAAAAAACUAAAUAACAUUAAAUAAAAUAAAAUAAUCAUUAGGGCGCUUUAAAAAUAAAUAUUAUUUUUAUUUUUGUUUUAUUUAAUCAUUGGCUUAUUAUUAUAUUUAUUAUUUUAAAAAAUAAAUAAUAUUAAGUAAAAUAAAAUAAUCAAUAAUGACUGUUAAAAUUAAUAUUAUUUUUACUUAGUCAUAGGCUUAUAAUUAUAUUUAUUCUUUAAAAACUGAAUAAUAUUAAAAAAUCAAUAGUGUCUUAAAAAUAAUAUCAUUUUAAUAUUAUUUAUUUUAUUUAAGUUAAAUUUUAAUAUUAUUUAUUUUAUUUAAGUUAAAAUUUUAAUAUUAUUUAUUUAAUUUAAAUUUUUUAAUAUUAUUUAUUUUAUUUAAUAUUAUUUAGUCAUAGGCUUAUUAUUAUAUUUAUUCUUUUUUAUAAAGAUAAAUAAUGUUAAAUAAAAUAAAAUUACAUUUUAUAAAAGUUACCAGCGAAAGCAUACAAAAUUAUAAAUAAAUGUAAAAAAAUAAAUAAUAUUAAAUAAAAUAAAAUUACAUUUUAAAAUGUCACUAGCUAAAACAUAUAAACUUAUAAAUAAAAUGUAAAUAAGAAAGAAAGUAAGGUAUUAAAUGAAAUGUAACGUCACAUAAAACAAAAAUAAGUGGCACAUUACAACUGUUGCAAGAUAGCUGGACUCAUAAAACAAUAUUUUUAGGUCAAAUUUUUAUUCUGAUACGACACAACUUGUACUUUCAUUCCUAUGCUAAAAUAUAUCUAACCUACUAAUAGUCAAGAAAUAUAUCUAUUCAACACAUAUUUGUUAGAAAGAUUAUCUACUAAUUAAUCAUUGAGACGAGAUUACGAGCCUCAACAUAAAUUAGGAUAAAAAUUAAUAUAUUGAAAUUCAUAAUUUUUUUUUUCCUUCAGCAGUUUAAAAUGGAGUCGCCCACUAGUACUGAAAUAAUUUUAUCAGAUUCGCUUGAAAGUAGUUUUACAAGCAAGCAGUUUUUCCCUCUUGAUCCCCGUAAUCGUCAGCUCCUACUCUUUGCCUUCAAUUCUCAGUCAAGAAAACCUCUCCUGAUUUUCGUCUUUUGAUCUCAUACACACUUUGCUUCUGUUCAUCGUGGUCGCUGCUCGUGCUAGCCGUUUUCUUAUUUAGCUUUGUUCCCUUUUGCCAUCAGCUCUUCGCAUUUUCAUUGGAUCAAGCAACCCUUUUCUUGAUUCAAUUGUCUGAUCUCAAAAACACUUUGAUUCUCUUCUGUUACGCUGAUUUUCCCUUGUUUUGUACAAAUAUCAUUUCUUUUUUCAACUUUGCCUUGUUUUGCUUCUGCUUGAUUAUCAAUUGCGCGGCCGUUGACCCUGUUCUAUUUCUAUUUCGUUCACUUCCCCAAAAAAUAAAAAAUGGACAUUUUGAAAAGCAUUGUUCCAGGAGUUGUGAACUGCUUGUCUCCUCACGCACAACGCGAAUUUAGUUAUUGGUAUAACUCCGCUGCCAACUUUGAGAAUCUCAAGGCAGAACUCGAUAGGCUCAAGGAUGAAAGAGAAAGCAUUCAGCGCAGAGUUUCUGAGGCUGAAAGAAAAGGUGAAAAGAUUGAAGAGAAGGUUGAGAAAUGGCUGGUUAAUGCGAACAAGAGCAUUGAGGAGGCAGCCAAAUUCAUUCAAGACGAAGAGAAAGCAAAUGAACGAUGUCUCAUGGGGCUGUUUCCAAAUUGGAUUACUCGCUAUCAGCAUGGAAAGAAAGCAGAAACAGAGAAGGAGGCCCUUUUUAAACUCCGAGAAGAAGCUGGGAGAUUUGAUGAUAGAAUUUCCUACCGUACCGUUCCGGAGGAUAUAUGGCUCAAGUCUCACAAAGGCUACGAGGCCUUCGAAUCAAGACUUUCUACUUUGAAGGCCAUACAAAAUGCAUUGAUCGAUGUUGAUGUCAGCAUCAUUGGGGUGUACGGCAUGGGCGGCGUUGGAAAGACGACACUGGUGAAGAAGGUCGCCAGGCAAGCUAUGGAAGACAAGCUCUUUGAUAUGGUGGUCUUUUCAGAGGUUUCGCAAACUCCAGACAUAAAAAAGAUUCAACAGGAAAUUGCCGAGAAGUUGGGCCUGGAGUUGCACGAGGAAGUUGAAUCUAGAAGAGCUAGUAGGCUAUGUGAGCGAUUGAGAAAUGAGAAGAAGAUCCUUGUGAUUCUGGAUAACAUCUGGAAACACCUUGAUUUGGAGACCGUUGGAAUUCCUUUUGGAGAAGAUCAUAAAGGAUGCAAACUACUGCUGACGACAAGAGAUCGUAGUGUCCUCUUGAAAAUGGGAUCUGAAGACAACUUUUUGAUAAACAAUUUAAAUGAAGAAGAAGCCGGGAGAUUGUUUAAGAUGAUGGCCGGUGAUGAUGUUGAAAAUCGUGAGUUGAAAUCUACAGCAAUAGACGUCGCCAGGGCAUGUGGAGGUUUGCCCAUUGCCUUGACUACAGUAGCAAAGGCAUUGAGAGGCAAGAGUCUGCAUGAAUGGAAGAAUUCCUUGCGAGAACUCCGAACGCCUUCAAUGGUAAACUUCGAAGGAGUGUCUGCAGAGACUUAUUCAAGUAUUGAACUGAGUUUCAAGUAUUUAAAAGGUGGGCAACUCAAGGAACUUUUUCAGCUCUGCAGUCUAAUGGGUAACAGUAUCCCUACUUUGAAAUUGCUUAAAUACUCCAUAGGUUUGGGUAUAUUUCAAGGAGUCAAUAAGGUGGAAGAUGCACGAAACAAGUUAUAUGCGUUGGUACAUGAACUUAGAGACUCUUGUUUGUUGCUUGAGGGUGAUAGCAAUAAACUAAUUUCAAUGCAUGAUGUUGUUCGCGAUGUCGCCAGAUCAAUUGCAUGCCGAGACCAACAUGUAUUUGUGGUGGAAAACGAGGAUGUGUGGGAGUUGCCAGAUAAGGAAUCACUAAAAAAAUGCUAUGCAAUCUCUAUAAGAUAUUGUUGCAUUCAUGAGCUUCCCAAUGCAUUGGAAUGUCCACAACUUGAGUUCUUGUGCAUGUCUCCCGAAGAUUCUUCUCUUGAAGUGAGUAUUCCUGAAAAUUUUUUUGUAGGGAUGAGAAAGCUUAAAGUUGUAGAUUUUACUGGAAUGCAGUUAUUUUCAUUGCCUUCUUCAAUUGAUCUCUUAGUAAAACUUAAAACACUUUGUCUUGAUGAAAGCAUUUUGAGAGACAUCGACAUAGCCAUUAUUGGAAAGUUGGAAACUCUAGAAAUCCUCAGCUUCGUGCGGUCUGAUACGGUGCAAUUGCCCAAAGCACUAGGUCAACUGACUAAGCUAAGGCUGUUAGAUUUAACAGACUGUUUCCAUCUAAAAGUUAUUGCUCCAAAUGUCAUAUCAAGCUUAAUCCGAUUAGAAGAAUUGUAUAUGUGUAAUUGCUCCAUUGAAUGGGAGGUUGAAAGAGCCAACAGCAAAAGAAGUAAUGCUAGCCUUGACGAAUUGAUGCAUUUACGUUGGCUAACCACUCUAGAAAUUGAUGUUAAAAAUGAGAGUAUGUUACCAGCAGGCUUUUUGGCCAGAAAGCUCGAAAGGUUCAAAAUAUCUAUUGGAAAUGGGUUAUUCAUGCAUCCCAUGCUUUUUGGACAACAUUGGUUUAAAAGUCAGCUGCACUUUUUGAUCGACAGUAAUCGCAAGAUUUCAAGAGAAUUGGAGCUCAAGCUUGAUUUUAUGGACAUUUGCUCCAUGAAAUUGCAGGGCAUCAAUAACGUUGAAUACUUACGGUUGGACAAGCUGCAAGGCAUCGAGAAUGUUCUUUUCAAUUUGGACACGGAGGGCUUUUCACAAUUGAAGGUCCUCUGCGUCCAAAAUAAUCCUGACUUCUUUUGUAUCGUCGAUUCAAGGGAGAUGGUCGCUUGUGAUGCCUUUCCUCUUUUGGAGUCACUUGCCCUUCACAAUUUGAUCAACAUGGAGAGGAUAUGUGUUGAUCGGCUCAAAGUAGAGUCUUUCAACGAACUCAAAAAUAUAGAAGUAUAUAAUUGUGAUAAGUUGAGUAAUAUCUUUUGGCUCUCUACUUCAAAAUGCCUUCCAAGACUUGAGAGAAUUGCAGUUAUUAAUUGCAGCAAGAUGAAAGAGAUUUUUGCAAUUGGGGAAGAAGUUGAUAAUGCAAUUGAGAAGAUAGAGUUUGUUCAAUUAAGAUCUUUGAGUCUGGGGAAUCUUCCAGAGGUUACAAGUUUUUGCCGCCGUGAGGUGGAGACUCCUUCAGCAUCACCGAACAGACAAGUGUCGCAAGAGGAAUCGACGACUACGUAUUGCUCCAGCGAAAUCACUUUGGAUACUUCAACUCUGCUUUUCAACGAGAAGGUGCGUAGGCUAACAUUUUCUUUAUAUAUAUAUAAUUAAAUCAUUUAAAGAAUUGAAAGAAAAUGGAAAAAGGAUAAAAAGAAUCUCACGCGCUCACUAAUUGAGCUCUUAACAAGUAGUAUGAAUUAGAAUGCAUACUCAGCUGUCAGUUGGAAAUUGAUUCAGACUUGAUUAAUUUGUAAUCAAAGAAGAAAAUUUCAACAAGUGCUUCCCCUAUAGAUAUUGGAUCUAACGAGAAAUUCUUAUUUUUUUAGGUUGCGUUGCCUAACUUGGAGGCUUUGGAGAUAUCUGAAAUUAAUGUCGACAAGAUUUGGCACUACAAUCAAAUUCCGGCGGCCGUGUUUCCUCACUUUCAAAGUUUAACAAGAUUGAUUGUGUGGCGUUGUCACAAAUUAAAAUACAUAUUUUCAGCGUCUAUGAUCGGAAGCCUCAAGCAGCUCCAACACCUAGAUAUACGAGACUGUAAGGAUUUACAGGAGAUCAUUUCUGAAAACAGAGCAGAUCAAGUGAUCCCUUAUUUUGUCUUUCCACAGCUCACCACUCUGAGACUCCAAGAUCUACCAAAACUUAGAUGUUUGUACCCUGGAAUGCAUACUCCGGAAUGGCUUGCGCUUGAAAUGCUUUUUGUGUAUCGCUGUGACAAAUUAAAGAUAUUCGCUGCAGAUUUAUUGCAGAAAAAUGAGAAUGAUCAACUUGGUAUUCCUGUACAACAGCCCCCAUUGCCGUUGGAAAAGGUAUGAAGCCAUUUUCUAGAUUUUUUUUAUCAAUAACUUAUUUUUAACUUUGAAAAAUAUGACAAAGCAAUGAUAAAUUAAUACUCAAUAAAUUGAAAACUUUUAUUAUACAAUAAUCUUUGCUAGUCUAGACUAAGGGAUCAAUGUGGUAGAUUAAUAAUUAUAUGAACUUUUUUAGGUAUAGCAUUUAUAAAAGAAUCCUUAGUCUUUCCUAUAGAAGAACUUACAAAAUAAAUUAGUAAUUUAUUAUCGUGCAAUAAAAUAAUUUCUUUUUUUUCCCUAAUUUCUUUUUUACCUCUAAAAUUAAUAUAUAAAAAAUCAUUUAAUAAAAUUUAUCAAUAAUUCAAUUUGUUUUUGUAAAAUAUAAUAUAAAACAAAUAAUAUAAAGUCACUGCAUGUGAUUGGAUUACUCAAAAUCAUUUGAGAGAACACCAAUUGACCUUGUCAGUUAUUAUGAUUGAUGAUGAUCAGAUCUUACCCAACUUGACGGAACUAUCACUAAGCGGAAAAGACGCGAAGAUGAUUUUGCAGGCCGAUUUCCCACAACACCUUUUUGGCAGUCUUAAACGACUAGUGAUUGCUGAAGAUGACUCAGCUGGUUUUCCAAUCUGGAACGUACUUGAGAGAUUUCACAAUCUCGAAAUACUCACACUGUUUAAUUUUUCAUUCCACGAAGAGGUAUUUUCGAUGGAAGGAUGCUUAGAGAAACAUGUGGGGAAGUUGGCAACGAUAAAAGAAUUAGAGCUGUACCGGCACUAUCAUCUGAAGCAGCUGUGCAAACAAGACUCCAAACUUGGCCCCAUUUUUCAGUAUCUUGAAAUUCUAAAAGUAUAUCAUUGUCAAAGUCUGUUAAUUCUACUGCCAUCAUCAUCGGUAUCUUUUGGGAACCUAACAAAACUUGUAGCUAGCGGUUGCAAGGAAUUGAUGCACUUGGUAACAUCCUCCACAGCAAAAACUCUAGUGCGACUCGUAUCACUUGGUGUAUACGGAUGCAGAGCAAUGACAGAGGUGGUAAUAAAUGACAAAGACGGGGUUGAAAAAGAAGAGAUUGUUUUCCGCAAAUUGAAGACGUUGGAACUGUGUGAUUUAGACAGCCUCACAAGUUUCUGCUCUGCCAAUUACACCUUUGAAUUCCCAUCUUUGCAAGAGUUGGGGGUGAUUUGUUGUCCCAAGAUGAAGAUUUUCACUACAGGAGAAUCAAUCACGCCUCCGGGAGUAUACGUCUGGUAUGGAGAGACAGCGGAUCAACGGUGCUGGGCUAAUAAUGAUCUAAACGCAACCAUACAACAAUUACAUGCUGAGAAGGUACGGAUAUACAUAUUACUCUCUAUCUCCCAUGAUAAAUUUUUAUAAAAUUUGCUUUUUAAAAUACAAUAUAGAUAAGAUAUUUGUUUAAAGUAAAAGUUUAAAUUGAUGAAUAAGAAUUUUAUUUUCAGCUGUUGGCGGUGCCGUCGUCGUUCUCCACCCGGUACUAAUUUCAUAGGCUUCUUAUGACUUGGGAGUUGUGAAUUUUUAGAAGAAAGUCUCAACUGGUAAUUAAUUUUUAUUUCAUUUAUUUGAUCUCAUGGCUUCUUUCGCAAUUUCAUCUGAAUUAUUUAGAAUGGGUCACUCGAUUUACUGUUAAAUUUGGAAUGCCAUUUUAAUGAUUCGUUCAGACUUUUAUGGACAGAUUUUGCAUCAUUGAAUGUCUUUCAGUCUAGUUUAAUUUAAUUUUUUUUUUGGAGAGUUUCCCUUGUUUUCUAAAAUUGUAUAAUUCCUUGCAUACUUUUUAUGAUAAAAUUUCAUUAAAAACCUUCAUAUUUUAUAAUUCCAUGAAAUCGUGCGUACUUUUUUCCUAUCUUUCUUCGCCAAUUAUUUGUUUUCAUCAUUGCUGUUCUGUUAUUUUAGCUUGUGCUCUGUUUGUUCAUUUGGUUUGGUUUGCUUCACACCUAUCUUUCUUUGGAAACUUAGAAGGCAAAGGAAGUACUUAGAAAAUGCUCUUCCCUAUGAACACAUAAUUAAGAACAGCUGAAAAUCAUUCAUCGGAUAAAAAAAUUAAAAAUAAUUAAAAAUAAACAAAAUCUAAUCAGAGCAUUAUGCCUGGAACAAAUCCUUAAGCCAUCAAAGCAAAACUCUUCGCUAUGAAAAACUAUAUUGUGGAAAUAUUGUUUGAAAACGUUGGAUACCAAGAAAGGGACUAAUCUGGUCUAGUUUUAUGAGAAGUGCAGAAGAACAGUAUUUUCUCUGUUGUUCCUAUUAAAAUUCUUUACUCUGUUAUUGUAGAAUGUCUGGAUACUCAUGAAGAUUCAGGUAACUCUUCUUCUGUGCAUCAUUUGAAAUAAGGUCUUUUUUUUUUUUUUUUUUUUUUUUUUUUUUGGGAAUAUCUCCUACUGGGUUUAUAGCUCAUACAAAGAGAUAUUCUCAAAUGAAGCCGGAUACUGGUAGAAACAAGGGAGGAAGUUGGCGCUGAUAAAAUGGUUAAUCCUGUCCAGACUUAAUCAUCUGAAGCAACUCCAAACUGGACUCCAUUUUCAAUAUCUUGAAAUUCUAAGGCUAUAUUAAUGCUUGUAAAAAUCUUUUAAGUCUAUUCCCAUGAUCAUCUGUAACUUUUGGGAAUCUAACAGAACUGGUGGUUUUCCAUUGCAAAGAAUUGUAACAUCCAUCCACUACAGCAGAAAGUCGAGUGCGGCUCGUAUCAAUGAAGGUAACUGGAUGCAGGCCAAUGACAGAGGUGUUUGACAGAGGUGUUAAUAGGUGACGGAGAAGAAGAUGGAGCACCAAAUUUAAUUUCAAAACAAGAGAUUGUUUUCAGCAAAUUGAAGACGUCGAGUCUGUGUGAUUUAGAUAGUCUCACAAGUUUCUGCUUUGCAAAUUACGCUUUCAGAUAAAGAUUCUUGAAACUGUCCUAUUUAGAGCUGACAUUUCCACUAGAUUUAAGAGAAUAUAAAAAAUUCAUUAAUCGUUAGUUUUUAAUUUCAUUAUUCAAUGAAAGUCCUGUCAAAUUAAAUUGCCGCUAUUGAAUCUCUCGCUCCCCUUGCAAAUCUCUAUGUGCAAGUACCUAAAUUUACAAAUUUUACUUCAAAUUAAUGAAUGACAUAAUUUAUUUUCAGCAGUACGAUAUGUUCUGAUCCCAUAGGCUUUUUAAUUUAUUACAUGGUGUUGUCAAAUUUGAAGAACAAGGUCCGAGGUAACAAUCGUUUUCAUUUCAUUUUGUUUGAUCUCUAAGUUUAUUUCAUCGUUUCAUCUAAAUUAUUUGCAAUGCGUCGGUUGGUUUCUUGUUAAUUUUGGAACAAAGUUGAUGCAACCAAUGGUUGCAUAUGAUGAGUAGGAUAUCGCUCUGAGAUCAUAACUUGAGUUAUAGAUAUCUAUCUAGGGCGUAUAAUAUAUCAUUAAUCUAUUACUAUAACAUUGUAUUGGUCUCGUGGUCCAGCUAGAAAUUCUAUUUGUUUCAUAGUUAUUUUACAAGUUUAAGAUAUUUUCUUAUUUUUCUUAUUAUUUUCAAGAUUUUUAUUUUUUUUCUACAAAUAUAAGAUUUAAGUACGAUUUAUUUUAUUUUUAUUAGAAGAAUGUUAUUAUAUAAUAAUAUUUUAGGUUUGCUUAUUUUGGUAAAUUCGUAAUAUUUAGAAUUAGUAUAAAGAGGGUCCAAAAUCCAAAUUUUGUUAUUCAGACCUAUCUAUUAAUAAAAUUUCAGACUUUUCAAAAACUUGUGUUUCUCUAUAUUUUCAAUCUCAACGUCCAAUUUUCCGUCAUCAUAAAUUCUAAUGCCUGGUUCCAUCAGGUCUCUCUUCUGUGAAGCCCCUGGAGUAAAAGCUCCGAAUGUGUUACCAUUGAAAUCAUGGCAGAAAACUUUAGUACUUAAUUAAGGCUCUUGAAUAAGACUCUUUAUGGCUUCAAUAUUUUACUUGAUAUGAAAAUUUCUUUCUAGAUAGAAUCAUUGUGAAGAUAAAUUGUGGUAUUACUGACAAUGAAUAAGUUGAAACAUCAACAGAGAUAAAUAUUGAGCAAUUAAUGUUACCAGCAAUCAAUUUGUGAGCACCAACAACCAUUUUCAUAUUUAAGCCGUUAGAACAGUAACACAAAAUAUGGCGAGUGGCAACCACACAAAUAAUCAAAUUCCUGAUAGAUUUUGAAAACUUUAAUUUGCUAGAUAUGUAUUUUAAUAUUUCAACAGGUGCAUCUUUUCUCUACUCAUGUGGCACGUUGAAUCAGAAACGGUUUGAAUGUCAAUAUUACUCCAAGUGCCUCAACCAAAUUCAGAAUGAAGAAAAUCAUCUGGUUACCUGCACUUUAGUUUAAGCAGCUGAUUAAGUUAAUUAGCACCAAGUAAUUCACAUACUAGUGAGAAAUUUCAUUAGUAAAUUCAUACCUGGGAGGAAACCAGCAUCUUGACGCUUUUGUGACCAAGAAAAUCUGCCAGAACCCCAAUUAAUGAAAAAAAAUUAUAACAUCAUUUACAUAUAAUUUUACAAAAUCAAUAGGACACUUACAGAGCACCUCCUACAGCUGGACCGGCAGUUUUGGUAAGCGACACCACAGUCAUAGCAAGUCCAUUAUGGUAUAAUGCUGUUCCUGUUAUUAUACCAUAAACCAAAAAAAUAAUUUAAACUUUUGACACAUACAAAGCAUGAAAAAGCUGAAAGCAUGGAAAUGUACUAAACAAACAAAAGAAAAUAUAUUUACCACUGCUCUGUUUUGCAGAAGGAACAAUCCAGUAAUUAUAGACACCUGAUGUUAUAAUUCAGGAAAAGUGAAAGAGAAUUACAACAUUUCUGAUAAAGAAGAUAUAAAAUAACUUUUAUACAUUCUUGCUAAUGGGUAAUAUAACCUAAGUAUAUGGAUCAAUGAUUAGGAUAUCCACUUACAGAUAAAACAUUCUUCAUCACAGAAGCACAGUUUAUCAAUAAGGCAAGGCUGAACCCAGAUAACAUUGCUAUGUAAGUGUAACUUGUCAAAAGCGGUAUCGAUAAAACCUGUAUAUACAUAGAAAAUUACGUCACCAAAUCCAUGAAGAAAAGUAUUUUAUAAACAAAUAUGUUUGAAACAAACUAUCAAAUGAUCUAAAUGCCACAUGGUUUGUUCAAAAUUUUACCCCUGCAAUGCGUGUUAUUAUUAUUGGCCCGAUCAUCCUCUCAACGUAAGGGUAUAGAGUAAGUUGAAAAACAAGGAGGCUGAAUCCUGCAGUAAGUUCAAAAUGAGGAGUUGAGGACAAUCAAUAAGCAGUUUUGUGGGGUUGAUGCAUGAGAAAAGAAGUUAAGAGGAACGAGUAACAUUUUCAGUUUCGUAAUAAGUAUAAAUGGGCAGCAAGAGUAUUGGUUUUGCACCUGAGAUGGCAAGAACUUGGCCAGCAUUUUCGGUUGAGUAACUCAGACCCCCGUACUUCCACGGGCUGAUAGCCCACAAUGAAAAUAUCUAACAGAAUAGUUGCAAUAUUAUGAUUUAAAAAAAUUACAUAGAUAAGAAAUUCUUAGGAUCAGUAAUAGCCAUAUGUCUUCUUUAUGUAUAAAACUCAAAACAAUCCCAUCAAUAGCAAUAGCACCCUCUGUUUCAGGUAGAAGUUAAGAGAUAACUUUGCAAAUAUCUAACAGAAAGCGAUCUGAUCCAGGAUCCUGGACUUUAUUCAAGUUCGGGAAAGCCAUUGGUCAUUGGACUAUUAAACCAUGUGGCUUAAUAACUGGUUGAGCAGAUCAUCUCGACCAGGAUAUUAUAGUUCACAUCGACCAGAAUAAUAUGUGGUGACCUCGAGCAGAUCACCUCGACCAGGAUAUUAUUGGUCAUCUCGACCAGGAUGUUAUUGGUCACCUCGAGCAGAUCACCUCGACCAGAAUAAUAUGUAGUGACCUCGAGCAGAUCACCUCGACCAGGAUAUUAUUGAUCACCUCGACCAGGAUAAUAUGUGAUGACCUCGACCAGAAUAAUAUGUGGUGACCUCGAGCACAUCACCUCGACCAGGAUGUUAUUGGUCACCUCGACUAGGAAGUUACCAGAAAACACGAUUCAGUCAAAACAUUUUCUCCGAAAUAUUAGGGACCAUAUUCUUAGUGGGCUGAAAAUUAGUAGUUUUCUUGAGAAUCCUAUGGGAGAGGAUAAAAACCGCUAUAUUUUCAUAUAAAAACCCUAAGGGGGGAUUCUUCUAGCUCUCUCUCUCUCUCUCUCUCUCUCUCUCUAAGCAACUGAACCCAUUGGACCUUUUUCUCCCUCUACCACUGAGAAAUUUCUCUUUCGCCUGUGAUUUCUUUAAGAUUGAUUAUUGUGAAUUUUUUUCCUUUAAAUUUACUUAAAAGCUUUUUGUUUAAAGCAAUCAUAAUUAAGCCACAUGAAUUGUGGUAUGGGUUUUUCCAAGUAAGACCCGAAUCGCUGACUUGAGCGUCGGAGAGUUCUCGCCGGAAAAACUUCCGGCACCUCCUGACUGUUGGUUGUGUUCACAGGCUCACAGGUUAUCUGCUCAUGGAUUGUCUGCUCAUGGGUUCUCUGCUCAUGGAUCGUCUGCUCACGGGUUAUCUGCUCAUGGAUUGUCUGCUCAUGAGUUCUCUGCUCAUGGAUCGUCUGCUCAUGGAUUGUCUGCUCAUGGAUCGUCUGCUCAUGGGUUGUUUGCUCAUGGGUUCUCUGCUCAUGGGUUGUCUGCUCAUGGGUUGUCUGCUCAUGGAUCGUCUGCUCAUGGGUUGUCUGCUCAUGGGUUCUCUGCUCAUGGAUCGUCUGCUCAUGGGUUGUUUGCUCACAGAACAUCUGCUCAUAGAAAAUCUGCUCAUGGUGCUAACUAAUCAUCAGCUUCCCACCAAACAAAUUUAAUGCUGAUGCAGGGAUCUGAGAUUUGACCAACUCAUCCAGAUUUCGGCAUCAACAAUAACUUUCCCGAACAUUAAAAUAGUUUAGAUUUUGGAUUGGAACAUUUUUAUGUCAUAAUAAAGUAGAAUAUAUAUAUAUAUAUAUAUAUAUAUAUAUAUAUAUAUAUAAACAAUCAAACUCAGGUAGAGAUGUUUAUACCUCGGUGUAAGCGAUAUCAUGAAGCGAGAAAACACAAUAAACAAUAGUAGAAGAAAUAAAGGGCCAAUUCUUCAUGAGGCUUUUCUUAGCAGUGGCCUCCUCACUUCCUUCAUCUUGUUUAAAUUCUGCAUUGGACCCACAGGCGGAUUCCAAAGCAUCACAUGAUACAUCAAGUGAUACACCAUCUUCAUUGUGUUUGUGCAAUGUCUCCUGCAUCAAAAAGCAUGUGAUGGUGUCAAUGUAGUCAUUAUAAGAGAAGCGAAAGUUAUAUUUUAUAGUCUCACCCAUAAGAAAAUUUGAAGUUAUGGGAGAGUUGCUAUUACAUGUACAAUUCAGCCUGAAAAGAGAGCUAAAGGCUACGUACCGGAAUCCAGCAAGAAGCAAUAGUUACCGCAAAAGCAAAGAGUGACAUACAGAGACAGGGAAGGAAGUAAGGAAACCUGCAUAAAUUUGUUUUUCAAAAUACCAUCAUAUUGAAAGUAUUACAGAAAAAGAUAAGGCUAAUGGCAGUAAAAAUUCACUUACUUUCCAAACAUAGAUUCUUUGGAAAAUGCCUUUGGAUAUUUCUCUGCUGGCUGGAUUGCAAAAUUAUCCACGAAUAUAUAUAAGAAUAAUAUUUAUCAAGCCAAACUACUAAAAAUUCAAAAAAAAAAAAAAAGCGCAUAAUAAUCAAGUAAAAAUUGCCGAACCUGGGCCAAAAAGCCACCCACUGCAGGGCCAAUAAUCAACCCUGUGCCCCAUGCUGUACUGAGCUGAAAUUAUAUCGUAGUUCUCAAGGUAAAUGAUGCUAUAAAAUUUUCUCAAGAACUUUGCAAUCAUACACGAACUGAUAAGCUCACCGUUGACAGUCCUAAAGUUUUGUGUUGAUCGCGCAAUAUUUCACAUGCAUAUGCCUGGUGGUGCAAGAGAAGUUUGAGUACAAAUAUUUACAGGAGUUAAAUUGGAAUUAUCAACAAAUACCCCCAAUCAAUACCUUAAUUGGUCCAAGUAAACCAUUCAAAGCCCCAAGGAGAAACCUUGUAGCUAUGGCCAUCCAGAAACUAACACUAAGCCCAAAGAGAGUGUUAAAAAUAACCCUGUGAGCAUUUUAAGACAAAUAAGAAACCCAGAAAUUGCCAAAAUAUCAUCAAUUUCAAGCUUGAUCAUUUGAAAAUAGAGGUCACUAACACUGUGAUGCAUCCUAUUAUUAUUACAGGCUUUCGACCACAGCGGUCAGCCACCAUUCCCCACAAAACAGAUGUUAGAGCUCUGCCAAGCAUGUAUGAAGACCAUUCAAUUUCAUCAUGGUAUUAAGAGGUUUGUCAGAUGCAUCCUAUUAUUACUUCUCGAGGAAUUUGAACUGUUAUAUUGGUCGUACAUACAUACAUACAUGCAUACAUACAUAUACACAUACUGAAUAUUGUCUAAGUGGUUUAUUUACAGGUAUUCAAAAUAUAAAUUAUUGCUAUGAUUUUAGAAAAUAUUGUCUUUUUUUUGUAAUUUAUAUUAAAAUUUUGCGACAAUUGUUUGGCUGGAAUUUUUUUUUUUAUAAGAAAAAUAGUGAUCUCACACUGAUCCAUAGUUGAGCCAAUUACCUAGUUAAAAGCUACCUCCAUAUUUUUUAUUUUUUACCCUAAUGCAUGUCUGAUUCUUUUAAAAUUUUACGUUAUAUAUAUUAAACAAAAAUUAUAAUUUUAAUCAUUGAAAAAUUAAUGACAGACAUCUUUUGAAUAAUAUUUUUUUAAAAAAAUACAGAGCUAGAGAUAAUGCUAUAAUUGAUUGAAUAAGAAGGCUACAACUUGAUGAUAACUUUAUUGCAAUGUUGCGUGAUCUCAAUAUAUUAUUGGCUUUUGUGUGAGUAAAAGUUGCUGGCUCGUGUUUUACUAAUUUGGGUUUGUAUUUGACUGGCUCGACAAAGAAUCGAUUUACCUCAUACUCAAAUUACAAACAUCGAAACCGGAUCUGUCAUUACGUUAAUUGGCCUCCUAAAAUAAUCAAUCACUUUCUCUUUAGUCUACUAUCCACUCUUUCCAGUCGCUUAGUUUCAUUCUAAUCAUCUAAACGGCUCUUUGGUACUGUUUCUUCUAUUCGUCAUUGUUCUUGUUCUGUUAUUAUUUAGCUUUGUUCACUCCUCAGUCUCAUUUCUAAUUCUGUACCCAUCAGCUCUUUUAGCUCUUUACGUCGUGAUAGAAACCCUUUUCUUGUUUCCUUCAUCUCAUCUGAAAAACACAAUUGCUUGUCCUAUCGCUGUCUCUUUGUUUUUACUUUCCUUUGGCCUUCUUCGCUUCUACGUUUUUGUCAGGCUUCGAGAUGCUGGAAAUCAUUGUGACUAUCGUCUUGGAACUUGUAAAAUGCUUGGCUCCUCCAACUGCACGCCAACUUGUUUAUUUGCGAAAGCGGAACUACAAUGCCAACUUUGAGAAUAUCAAGGCGGAAAUGGAGAAGUUGAAGGUUGAACGUACGAGCAUUCAGCGCAGGGUUUCAGAGGCGAAAGAAAAAGGGGAAGAGAUUGAAGAGAAGGUUGAAAAGUGGCUGGUUAGUGCGAAGUACGAACGGCAUCAUUGACCGGGCAGCCAAAUUCAUUGAAGAUGAGGAGUCAACGAAUAAGCGCUGUGUCAAGGGCUUGAGUCCUAUUUGGAAGAGUCGCUAUCAGCUUAGCAAGAAAGCAGAGACGGAGGUGAAGGCCAUUAUUGAACUUGGAGAAGAAGUUAAGAAGUUUGAUACUGUUUCCCACGGUACCAUUCGGGAGCAGAUAUGGCUUAACUCUAGCAAUGGUUACGAGGCCUUCGAAUCAAGACUUUCUACUUUGCAAUCUAUAAAAAAUGCAUUGACUGAGGCGAAUGUCAGCAUUAUUGGGGUGUACGGCAUCGGCGGCAUUGGAAAGACCACACUGGUGAAGGAGUUUGCUAGGCAAGCCAGGGAAAAGAAGUUGUUUUAUCGGGUGGUUUUAUCAGAGGUUUCAUAAACUCCAGAGAUAAAAAAAGAUUCAAGGGGAAAUUACAGAGAACUUAGGUCUGGAGUUGUCCGAUGAAGCUGAAUAUAGAAGAGCUAGCAAGCUGAAUGAACGAUUGAAGAGUGAGAAUAAGAUUCUUGUGAUUCUAGAUAAUAUCUGGAAACAUCUUGAUUUGGAGACCGUUGGAAUUCCUUUUGGAAAUAAUCAUAAAGGAUGUAGACUUUGAUAGACAACCAAGGAGAUCAGCUAGAGUUUCAAAGCCAAGCAGCAAGCUUGUGGACUUUGUUUGACCAUGCAAACCAUGCCCAUGCAAGCCAUGCAAUUGAUCUCCCACAUAACACUUUCAUGCGAGUUAGUUGGAAUAAGAGCACGUGAGGAAUUGAUAUUGAAGUAAAAGUGAUGGUUGUCGAAGCCAGUAAAAAUAAAUACCUACUCUAAAUAAAUUAUGUAUAGUGAUUGAGUAAGGUCGUGUCCACAGAGAUCGGUAAUUAUUUAAAUUCUUUUAAAAAGUAAAUUGCAAAAUGGGGGGAUUGUUGACAAUAAUAAAAAUCAAAUUAAAAUAACAAGAAUGCAAAUUAAAAUUUUAAUUCAAAUUGGGAAAAGCUCUGGUUGAAGGAAUUAACUCAGCUUGAUUUGAUUACUGAUCAUUGAUUCAAUUAUAAAUCACUACUACUUAUGAAUAGAUCGGUUAUAGCUACUGAGACCCUCUAAUAGUCAAUCUCUCCUUAACUAAUCGAUAACCAAAGUACGACCGUUGGUUAUUUCCCUAAUCAAUAGACAACCUAGAUACGAUCAUAGGAUUUAAUCAAUUGACAGCCUGAAAAUCCAGAGAGACCCAAAUCCUAAUAAAUAAACGCAUACAAUGGUUCAUUUAAAUUAGAUUGUUUAUUCUCAUAACACAAUGCACUGCUAUGCUAUUUGUCACAAACAUUAAAAUCUUCAUACGAUAAAUCAUUUAAUUGACAACAUAUUAAGUUGAUAAUUAAAUAGUGGUCAAUUAUCUAAUUAACAAACAUAAUCAUGACAAUAAUUCAGAGAAUAAACAAAUACCCAAAAAAUAAUAAAAUAAUUAAAGCAUAAGAAAGAUCUCACAGUAGUGAUGAAUCAAACCUUCAUUAACCUUCAACCAGAAUAAUAGGUUUAGUUCCUCAUAGAGAAAAGAGAAAAAUUUAGAUCUAGGGUUUUUCUCUUUUCAAAAAUCUCUCCUUUUCACAAUACAUUCCUCCCUUAAAUUCUCUUCUCCCUCUUCUCCUCUAAAGUUCUUUUUACAAUAAAAUACUGAUAUCUAAAAUAUUAUCUAAAUAUUAAAUUCAUAAUUACAAAAAUAACCAAAAAUAUAAAAUACGUUAAACUAAAAACUGUAGGUCCGCAGUUGACAGCAUGUGCCCACACCUUAUCAACACAGUUUUUCUGAAGCUCAUAAUUUCUCCAAGAAAUCAAUGAUCCUCAAAUAUCAUCUUGUAGCUCAAUUUUAGCACCAAUCAAUAGAAUUGCACCUACAAAAAUAAAACACAAGUAAAUCACUAUUAUUAAGUGCAAAACAUCGAUAUUAAAGGAAGUAAAUAAUGCAAAACUAGUGCAUAAAUUGUACUCUAACAAAAAGACUACAUCAAAGUUGUUGCCAAGAAUCAAGUUAAUUUAUUUUCUGCUUUGUUUUUAUCUAGUUGUUAAUAUUGAUUUGAUUUGGCUGGAUUUGAGCCAAGGUUUUAGGCUACAAAUCAGUAGUAUACUUUAUGUUUAUCUGUAUAAAUAAGCAGCAACCAUGACGAUUGAAAGGAAGGAAAUUAGUCAAAACAAAUACUGGUUGUUCAUACCAUAAAUUGAACGAAUAUCAGGCACUGCUUUUCUGUAUUUGAUCGGGACCUAUCAGACUAUUGCUGACAGCAAGAGAUAAUAAUGUGCUUUUAAGUAUGGGCUCCAAAGAUAACUUUUUGAUUGGCAAUCUAACUGAACAAGAAGCCUGGCGAUUGUUUAAGAUAAUGAAUGGUGAUGAUGUUGAAAGUUGUAAGUUCAAGUCUACAGCAAUUAAUGUGGCUAAGGCAUGUGGAGGUUUGCCCAUGCGUUGACUACUGUAGCGAGGGCACUGAGAAACAAGAGUCUCCAUGAAUGGAAGAAUGCCUUGCGAGAGCCUUCAAUGGUAAACUUCGAAGGGGUGCCUGCAGAGACUUAUUCAAGUAUUGAGCUGAGUUUCAAUUAUUUAAAAGGUGAGCAAGUCAAGAAAAUUUUUCUGCUUUGUCGUCUAGUAGGUAACAGUGUUUGGUUUUCAGACUUAUUUAGAUACUCCAUGGGUUUGGGCAUAUUUCAAGGAGUCAACAUUCCCUUCCUAUUUACCAAAGGUAAGUGAUAAAUCCUACAUAUCCCACUCAAGAAUGCAUAAGUUUCUUCAAUCUCAAGUACCUAAAGUUUUCUUCUACGUUUAUAAAAAUUUCAGCACCAUCUCCCUAUAAUUCUCCAAGCUCACGACGUAGCUAUAUAAGUGUUUAUGCGUUAUGCCAAAACAACACAUGACACCCAUUCACCUAGUACGUACCCAGAGAACACGAGGAGCAGCUACCGAAAAACCCAUUUUUACGUGGGAAAAAAACUUCAGCUACUAGCUACCAGAGAGAACUAUGCAUUCCCAAACUGUCCAAGCCUGGACAAUUCAAGAAUUAUUAAUAGACAUAUGAUCCUCACUAUCAUCCAAAGAUGACACUAAUAAAACAUGUGUCUAUUAAUAAUUUCUUAAACAAGUCUAAGCUUUCAAUGCACGUAUCAAAAGUUUAAAAUUGAAUCUGAAAUUUGAAUAACACAUAAAUAUCAUAAAUCUCUUCAAUUUAUUCCUGAUACAAUGUAGCAUUAUUUCACAUAUCAUUUCUUAAGCAAAACCAUAAAAAAUACAAACGAUAAAUACAUUUUCGCACUGAUGCAGAUUAUGUUUACUGAGCAAUAAGUUUUAAGUCAUUCAUGUUGAAAUACUUCUUCCUAUUCUUUCAACAUAUAACUAGUACGUACACACAAUUAAUAAAUUAAAAAAAAACCUGGUAGUGAAUCUUGGAAAAUCUUCCUUCUUUCUUUUUUUUUUGGUGGGAGGGGGGGGGGGGGGGGGGUGGUGGUUGGGGGAACUAUGAAUCUUGCAAAUCCUCGGGAAGCCAUGUUAAGACAAGGCCAGCUUACUAUUAGGGUAUGAAAGAUAAAACCUUUUAUUUCCUUUUCAGAAUAAAAAGAAUAUUGACAAUGUUAAAAAACAUCUAGAGGAUUUCAGGUCUCCAGAUCCUUACAAAUCAAGGAUAUUAAAAAAAUUUACUUAGAGGAGAAAGGUUAUGCUCAUUUGUAUCUUGUUAGAAGAAAUUGAUCCAAAGCCUCAUUUUUAAUUAGCUUCAUAUAGCCAAUGAUUAGGUGUUUAAAAACCAAUGAAUAUUUUUAUAAGAAAUCAACAAUAUUGUUGAAAGAAAAACCAAAUAAAAUUAAUAAAGCCAAUGAAUAGAUCAAGGCUCUUUGUGGUCUAAUAACUAAUCAAACUAAGUUGUGGGCAAAGGCGAAUAUGUUUGUUUGGUCAAUAAUAAGCUCAACAAAUCACUAAUAAUCACCUAAUCACUAUUCCUUAUGCUAUGCAAUAUAAUGGCCUGGGUAAUGGCGCCAAGGCAGACAAUAACUAGCUAGCCAGUUAUGAUAGUUGAUUAACUUAACCUACUGGAAAUCUGAAGACCAAAACGAAGAAGCUUUGCCUAGAACUACAAUAGGAACAUUCAUACCCAAAACUAAUAUACACGAUUAAGAAACUUGAUUAUAUGUAUAUUUUUGUUGGCCACACUUAAAGAGAAUUUUCAAAAGAUGCUAAGGUACACCAAAUCCCACUAUUUCAAACUCAUAAACACAAAAAACCAUGGCAAAAAUUAAUGACUAUAUAAAAUAAAAUCGGUCAUGGGGCAUUGAGAUUAGGACAACUUGAUUUGUAUACCGUAAAAUAACUAUAUCUGCAUAGUGAACUAUAUUUCUGUUAGAACUCUGAAGUUUUCUAUUAAACUUUUUUCUCUGUUAGGUAAACCACUUAACUAAAAUGCUUAAGCCAAUAUUGACAAUCAUAGACAUAAAAGUAUUAAUAGGCUCACUCAAGUGAAAUGAGCAUUAUUUCACACAUCCUUUAGGUUUUUAAGUCAUUUAGAAGUCAUUCAUGUUAAAAAAAAAAAACAAAUUCAUAUACUUUCAAUAUAAUUACUGCAUACACAAUUAACUAAUUAAAUAAAUCUGUUUCAGCUAGUAUAGGAACUUAAUUAAUCAAAGCUAGUAGUUAUAGCUAGGACUUGAACGAGGCACCUUUCAAAGUUCAAGAAGAGCAUCUGAACAGAAUGAAAGCACUUUGUAGAAAUGGUAAUGAUGCUUUACAUCUACAUGCUCUUACACAAUAUGAACUUUCAUUGAUUCAAGAACAUAACACUAAUCCAAGCUCUUACUCUACAAGUCAAUUCAGUUUGUAGAUGCAAGCCAUUGUAAAAACUUUUGACAUUACUAAUUAAUAUAGAAUCAGCAAUGUUAUAUAACUUAUUAGACAAUAUAACAAGCACUUGGCGAGCAUAUAAGAUAAACUAAAACAAGUUAAUUAGAAAAUGAAACUAAAACCCAAGCUCCGCUAUUCAUUGUAGAAGCUUUAAACAUAAAAUUAAAGUAAAUCUAAUGGCAAAACAUUAGAAUCGAUGUUGGAAUUAAAGCUAAAUUCAAUAGUAAUCCAAAUGAAUCCAUUUGAACUUUGUAAACUCCGCAGAACAAAAUUAAUUUGAGUGAGCAAACUCAUCAAUGGCACAAGAAAACAGGGGCUUCAACUUGUAGGAAUAAAAAUAUAUUGCUGGCGGGACAAAAAUUGACAAUAACGGCUACAAUGCGAAUUAAAAAAAAAUCAAAAUCUAUAAUUACAAGCUAAGUAAGAGAAGAAACUCAUAAUCACAAGCUUACCUCAAAAGAUGAAGGGAGAAGACGAUGAAGAAGAAGAUGGCCCGUGUUUUACGCAGUUCGCCGGCAACCAGUUAGGCUUACGAUGGUGGCUAGUAACACGGAGUCCAGCGAAUAGUUUUAAAUUUAAAAUUCUAAAAUAGUAAUAUACCGAACGGCUCUUUACGCGGGUAGUAACUAACAUAUGUGAUAGCGGUAUGGCCGUCACAUAAAGGGUAACAAAAGCAAGUCGGGGUACAAAGCUAGAGCCUAGAAGUUAGUGAUAUACGUAAUGGCUUCUUUUGCAUUCACAUUAGGGGUCACAUAUACCCUAGUUUCUUGUAGUACAUGGUAAACUAUAUUUGUACGAAUUCAUUUUUGUGUGCUUGUUGGAUAAUAAUAUAUAAUAAAUUAAAAUUUGGUGUAAUUUUCACAAUAUUGUAUUAUAAAUAUGUCUCGUUCAGAGGUUUUGAAAUCGUUUUGAUUGAUCAUAAUUGAUAUUUCCACAGUUGCAAAAGAUGCCAAAGAAAAUUUGAUUAUCUUAAGAAAUGAGUGCAUGAGAUAUGAAAUCAACCAUACCAUAAAAUCAAAUUUUAUCGUGUCAUCCUUCCUGGUUCAAAUUUAUGGAAACAAUAAUCAAAUGCAUCCAUGAACUAGUAUAUUCCGACAUAUGUACCAUCAAAUUUUUGCUAUGUCAUACUUAUACACACACACAUAUAUAUAUAUAUUGAAAUUUUAUUAACAACAAUUGGGCCAAGCAUAUGUUGGUACUUGAAGAUUUAGAAGCUCCAUCCUUGAAAAAAUAAGGCUUGACUGUUAUCAAUCUAAUUCUUUUUGUUUUAAGUUCUUAAUUAAGCUUUCUUGCUUGUUUUCAAGAGCCAGUUUUGUAGUGAUCGACAAACAUGAUUUGCAUAUAAUGCACUUGGCAUUUAUGUGUCACUUAUUAAUUAGAUUUAAAUUCUAUACAUUAGUUAAGCUGAUUAAUACUUUAUACUUGCACUAAAUGAUAAAUACUACAUAAAUUGAGAACACUAGUAACUAUGUAUCCCAACUAUGUAAUAUUUGUUUGUCACAAACCCAAUCAUGGCCUAAUAUUCUAAAUGUUAUUUAGGAUACCAUUUCAAGCCCCAUGAGGGCUCUUUCCGUUUAAAAAAAACAAGUAAGAAAUAGAUGUAGAUAGCCAUAAUGAUUUAAUUUCUACUGCAUACAUAGCUGUAAUUAUUUUAAAAGCUACAGGAUUACCAAAUUGACCCUAAAUCAAACCAAUAAAAAUGUUUAAAAGUAAUAAUAAUAAACCAAAGUAAACGUACAAAAAUUCAUGCAUAAAUUGAUAAUCAAUAAAAACAUUCAAAAGUUUAACUCCAACUUUUCUAUAAAUUUCAAAAGGCAUUAUCAAUUUUGUGUCUAAUUCUACAAAAUUAGAAAACUAAAGAAUAUUAUGUAAUUGACAUAACCCUUAAAUUUCAAAAGGCAUUAUCAAUUUUGUGUCUAAUUCUACAAAAUUAGAAAACUAAAGAAUAUUAUAUACUGAUAAUUAAAUAAUAUGCAAUUAAUAAUGUUAAAAAAAUAAUUUUAAACAUAUUGUCAACUAAAAUAAAUGGGAGAAUUGGAGUUCCAAGAUAAAUUCUUAUCUAGUUCCAAAUCAACAAUUGGGAUUAAUUUCAAUAUUAAACCCCGACUGCUUUUAAAAUUGAUCCUAAUGAUAUGGACAAAUCCCAUUCUGAUCAGUAUGGAAUCCCAAUCCCAUACCUUUAGAUUUCGAUGGUGUUUAGUUGGAGGGAGGAGAGGGGAAGGAAAUGAAUUCAAAUUCCUUUCACUUUUUCUGUUGUUUGGUUUUCACUAAUAUAUGGGAAAUCCAUUUCUAUUGAAAUUUAAUUUUCAUCAAAUUGUGAAUUUUGGAUUCCUCAACGAAGGCUGUAAAAUUCAAAUUCCCCUCCUAUUAGAAAUCAAAUCUUCCAAAAUGGCUCCUCUCAAAUAUUUAUCAAUUAUUUUAAUUCUUAUCAAAUAAUUCUUAUUCAUGAUUUUAUUUAUGAUUUUAUUUUUUAAAUUCAAAUUGUCACUAAGGAGUCUGACUUACUACCACAGAAAAGCAAAAAAAAAAAAAAAAACAGUUUAUAGAUUAUGAUAAUUCUAUAUAUUGUCUGAGAAUUGCAAUCCCGUAGCCGAAGUAGUUUUUAAGUACAGAAUUUCAGUCAUUUCUAUUUAAUUUUUUUUUUAAAUGUGAAUUGGAGGGAUCAAGAGCAGCUCACUGGAGGUUGAGGCCGACAUGGAAUCUGAUUAUCAGGAGAUCCGAGUGCAGGGAGGAUUCAAUAGUGAACCCGAAUGAAAUCGGGCGGGUGGGCCUGCCUAUGUGUUUUUCCAAUCCAUAUUAAAAGGAGUUUCUUUUACAAAUACAUAUUGGACAUAUUUUGACAUGUCGUACUAAAUUAAGCCAUCAAAAAUUGCUGGGAAGGGAGUAAUAUCUAUUUAUAACUGGAAAUUACUCACCGUACAAUGAUGGUUGGAGCUGCAUGUAUCAUUUAUUAUUAACAACUAACUUAUGAAAUGCUUUGAAUGUACCUCCUAGGUCGUAUUUACUAUACCGGUUAGGAGAAACUAUAAUAUUAAAUUAUUUGAUAAAUACUUAUUAUAAUUUAAAAAAUAUAUUAAUUUUGUCCUCCACUUUAUGAUAACAAAAUUAUAAUAUAAAUAAAUUAUUCAUUCUAUAAUCUUAAACUUUAUUAAAAUUCGAAAAACUAUUACUCUAUAUGAUAUAAUAGUGUGAUGUUAUUACACUAUUAUACCAUAUAAAAUAUAUUUGCUUUCUUAAAUUUUAAUAAAUUCUAGGUCUUGGACAGAAGCACUUUAUAUAUAUGUAUAUAUAAUAAUUCUCUAGUAACGACAUUCUCAUUUUAACAAAGUGAUGAUAUCGCUAACAAACUAAAUAACACACAUUUCAAUACACCAAUAGAUUAAAAAAAUACAAUUUUUAAUGUGUUAAAAUAUAUGUCUUUUGUAUAUUAUUGAUAUUUUCACUUUAACAAUGUGAGGGUCUCCUCACUAUAGAAGUACUUUAUAAAUAUUUUGUAUUUUUUUAAAAAAUUAUUAUUUAAAAGUCAUAUCUGACCAAGACUAAUAAUUUUUAUUUUAUUACUAUACUGUACUUUCAAGACAGAACACUUCAAUACCAUGACCUUAAUUUUUCAACUCUCUUGUACAAAGUUGUUGGCUGGUCUAUUUAGUUUAGUCUUUCAAUCAUUUGUCGUUUGAACUGAGAUGAUCCGAAUAAAGCUAUAUAUCAAUAAUUUCCUAGUGAAACUUUGGGAAAAAAUAAAAAUCAUGUCAUACAGUAGCAUUAUUUUAAUUCACAGCUUGAUUAUGUUUUGAGUUAACUUAUAGAUUAUUUGAAAUAAAAAGACUAUAAUUUAAUUUUUCCAACUAAAUAUUUUUAAAUAAUUUUGUUAAUUUAAUGAGUAAUUAUACACUUACAAAGUUACGAUAUAAAAUUAUAUCCCAGAAUCUCAAUAAUAUGACACCAAUUAACUACUGCUAUGUGUUUCUUAGUAAUUAACUUUUUAUACUAUUAUCAAUGAGAAAAUUAACUUCAACACCAAUAAACAAAUUUUAUAUUAAUACAUCCUCUAGGUUUAUUAUCAAAUAAUCAUGUCAUAAUCAAACCAAGCUACCAGAGCCUACUACUAAAAGAUUGAUUAAAGGGUUUUCCAAGUUUGAAAAAGUUAGUAGCAUUGGCAAAUGGCAACUCCCAGGAAUCUUCCUACUACAAUCAACCAUUCAGUGAAAUUCCCAAAUGGCACAAAGGACCCCGCCACCCGUUAAGUCACAUCAUUUAUUUAUUUGUGAAUGAAAAAUAAGGUUUCGAUCGUAAGAAAUGAACACCUUAUAAUGCAUGAUUACCUGUAUGUCAAGUUUGGCGAUUAUAAGUCAUCAUCACAAUAACUUUGGAGCGGAGCUAUCGGCACCCCCUUGAUAUCCUUUUCAAACCCCUUUUCUGCUUAUUUCCUCCUCAAUCCCUAAAAUAGCCUUUAUCUGUAAUUUUUCCGCAAACAAUUUCAACCUCCUUUCAGUUAUCACUCUUCAACCACUCCCACUUCAAGUUUCUUCUUUUUAUAGGAAAGGCUUUUGAUAACAACCCAAUAUUUUUUUGUUUUAAUUUUAUACUUUUCAGUUUAUGACAUUAUAUUUUAAAAUAAAUAUGUAUAAAAUACACACAAGGUUUAGUUAUCUCCUAGCAUUCUAAUAACGUUAGUAAUUUAUGAAAAUUUUAUAAAAUUAUCUUUCCUACAAAAAUAAAUUGUUAAGUGAAAAAAAUACUUUAUAUCAAAUUCUUACUCUUUUACCAUUGACCUUUUUUUUUCAAAAAAAAAAAUGGAACUUUUAAGUGCUUUAGUGGAGAAAGAGUCGGUGAGAAAAAAUCAUAUAUGAAUUUAAUAAGAUAAGAUUUAAGGGACAAAAUUGUAAAUGUAUAACAAGAGGGGUUUUAUAAGAAAAAUACAGGGGUGCCAAUAGCGUCACUCUAACUUUGGGCUUUGAUAUUUAAGGCUCCGUUUCGGACAAAUGCGUGGCAAUUGGACAACACAUCACUCAAUUAUAGAGUGUGAAAUAUUGAUAUUGUUCUUAUUAUUUUACGUAAUGUAUACAUUUUUCCUCUUAUUUUUGUUUGUUUAUUUAUUUUUGAUACUUAAUAAAUAUAAAUUUAUUUUUUAAUAUUUAAUAAAUAAUCCUAACCAGGCAAUAUUGCCAGAAAAUAACGAACAAUGAUCCAAAUCCUUUUAUUUUACAUAAAUAAUUUCAAUUCACAACAACUAUGACGUUACAUUACCAAACAAACACUAAAUAUUUUGAUUAUUGUAGUUUAUCUUUCAUUCAUAACAUGAAGAGUUUGAAAUAUGAUAUCAAAACAAAGAGUAUGACAUGUCGUGUUGUGUUCACAGAAGAAAUGUAAGCCAUGUCAUCCGAAAACUAAAAGGAACGUAUGACAAUCAGAAGCUGUCAUCUCUGAUUUGCUUACACUUUUAAGGAUAAAUUCUGGGUUUUCAGUGACAAUUAAAAGCUAGAGUGAGAAUUAGAGAGAGAGUUAGAUAUUCUUAUUCCUAGUCACUUGCUAUAUUUUGUAGGUCUUUUGUGACUCCAAUGAUAAAAUCGCUCAAUAUUUUUUUUUUGAUAGAGCCAUAUUUUUUAAAGCAUAAAGAAAGGCAGAAAUAUUGUAAAUCCAACUUAAAUUUUCUGUUCAUUGUGGUCGCUGCUAGUGCUAGCUGUUUUCUUAUUUAACUUUGUUCCCUUUUGCCAUCAGCUCUUUGCAUUUUCAUUGGAGCAAGCGACCCUUUUCUUGUUUCAAUUUCUGAUCUCAAAAGCACUCUGAUUCUCUGGACACUGAUUUUCUCCUUGUUUUGUACAAAUAUCAUUUCUCUUUCCCAUUUAGCCUUGAUUUGCUUCUACUUGACUAUCAAUUGCCCAGUCGUUGACCCUGUUGUAUUUCUAGUUCGUUCACUCCCCCCCCCUCCCCCCCAAAAAAAAUGGACAUUUUGAAAAGCAUUGUCCUAGGAGUUGUAAACUGCUUUGCUCCUCUAGCACAACACGAAUUUAGUUAUUGGCAUAACUCCGGUGCUAACUUUGACAAUCUCAAGGCAGAACUCGAUAGGCUCAAGGAUAAAAGAGAAAGAAUUCAGCGCAGAGUUUCUGAGGCUGAAAGAAAAAAGUGAAAAGAUUGAAGAGAUGGUUGAGAAAUGGCUGGUUAAUGUGAACAAGAGAAUUGACCAGGCAGCCAAAUUCAUUCAAGACGAAGAGGCAGCAAAUGAUGGCCGAUGUCUCAUGGGGCUGUUUCCUGAUUGGUUUGCUCGCUAUCAGCAUGGAAAGAAAGCAGAAACAGAGAAGGAGGCCCUUUCUAAACUCCGAGAAUAAGCUGAGAGAUUUGAUAAUAGAAUUUCCUACCCUACCAUUCGGGAGGAUAUAUGGCUCAAGUCUAACAAAGACUACGAGAACUUCGAAUCAAGACUUACUACUUUCAAGGAUAUACGAAAGACAUUAACUGAUGUUAAUGUCAGCAUCAUUGGGGUGUACGGCAUGGGCGGCAUUGGAAAGACGACACUGGUGAAGGAGUUUGCUAGGCGAGCCAUUGAAGACGAGCUUUGUGAUAUGGUGGUUUUUUCGGAGGUUACCCAAAGUCCAGACAUAAAACAGAUCCAAUAGGAAAUUGCGGAAAAGCUAGGCCUAGAGUUGUCCGAGGAAGCUGAGUUUAGAAGAGCUAGUAGAAUAUUUGAAAGAUUGAAGAAUGAGAAGAAGAUCCUUAAGAUUCUGGAUAACAUCUGGAAAUCUCUUGAUUUGGGGACUAUUGGAAUUCCUUAUGGGGUUGAGCAUAGAGGAUGUAAAUUAUUAUUCACUACAAGAGAUCUUGAUGUGCUGAUAAGGAUGGGAUCUGAGAAACAAAGAGCUGCCUGAGUGGAAGAAUGCCAUGCAAGAACUCCAAAUGCCUUCAGAGACAAGCUUCGACGAAGGAGUACCAGCAGAGGCACACUCAACAAUUGAGCUGAGUUACAAGUAUUUAGGUAAGCAACUCAAGGAAACGAUUUUACUAUGUAGUCUUAUUGCACCAACUUCAAUUAUGGACUUGAUCAAUUAUAGCAUGGGUUUGGGGUUUUUUGAAAGUGUCCUUAAGCUAGAAGAGGCACAUAACAAAUUACAUGCAUGGGUCCGUCAACUAAGAGACUCUUGUUUGCUGCUUGUGGAUGGUAGCAGUAAAUUCUUUUCUAUGCAUGAUGUUCUUCGCGAUGUUGCCAUUUCAAUUGCAUGUCGUGACAUGAAUGCAUUUGUGGUGAGAAAUAAGAAUAUGUGGGAAUGGCCAAAUCCAGAUGCAUUAAAAAAAUAUCUUGCAAUCUCUUUAAUAAAUAGUCGUAUUAAUGACAUUCCUGAAGGGCUGGAAUCUGCACAACUUGAAUUUUUACUUAUGAUUCCCAAGAACUCUUUUUUUGGGCUCAAUAUUCCUGAGAACUUCUUUAAAGGGGUGAAAAAGCUUCGGGUUGUAGCUUUGGUAAAAAUGCGGUUAUCAUCAUUGCCAUCUUCAAUCUAUCUUCUAGUAAAUCUUCAAACACUUUGCCUUGAUCAAAGCAUUUUGAGAGACAUAGACAUAGCCAUUAUUGGAAAGUUGAAAAAUCUAAAAAUCCUUAGCUUUGUGCGGUCUGAUAUUGUGCAGUUGCCUAAAGCACUAGGUGAACUGACUAAGCUACGGCUGUUAGAUUUAACAGACUGUUUCCAUCUAAAAGUUAUUGCUCCAAAUGUCAUAUCAAGCUCAACCCGAUUAGAAGAAUUGUAUAUGGGUAAUUGCCCCAUUGAAUGGGAGGUUGAAAGAUCCAAUAGUAAAAGAAGUAAUUCUAGCCUUGAUGAAUUGAUGAAUUUACCUUGGCUAACCACUCUAGAAAUUGAUGUUAAAAAUGACAGUAUUUUACCAGAAAGCUUUUUAACCAAAAAGCUGGAAAGGUUCAAAAUAUCUAUUGGAAACGAAUCAUUCAUGCCUCCUCAGAAGAAAACAAUGGUUUCGAAGCCUGCCGCACUUUUUGAUCAACAGUAAUCGUGAGAGUUUAAGAGAAUUGAAGCUCAAGCUUGAUUUUAUGGACAUUUGCUCCAUGAAAUUGCAGGGCAUCAAUAAUGUUGAAUACCGAUAGUUGGACAAGCUGCACGGUGUCAAGAAUGUUCUUUUCGAUUUGGACACAGAGGGCUUUUCACAGUUGAAGAUUCUCUGGGUUCAAAAUAAUGCUGACUUCUUUUUUAUCGUUGACUCAAUGGAGAUGGUCGCUUGUGAUGCCUUUCCUCUUUUGGAGUCGCUUACUCUUUUCAAUUUGAUCAACAUGGAGAGGAUAUGUAUGAAAAAUAAUUUCUUGAAACUUAUUUAAAUCCAGACUAAAUUACUGAGCAACAUCAAAUUGGAAGCGUACCUGAAUCCAUUGUUAUUAUGCACUAGAAAAGAUUUUUGAUCUUGGCAAUGGAUUUCCAAACUAGUCUCUAUCCUGUGUUAAGAAUUCUCACUGAGAGGAUUUUUGAGAAUGAAAAGAGAUUGAGAUAGAAUGGGGACCAUAACCACCGUAUAAAGAAAACUGACUAGCGGUUUUAAUUUUAUGUUAAUUAUCACUUCUGCUCCUCAUAGAAGUUAUAAUUAAACUAUAAUAUCUAUGUAAUUAACCCACAACUAUUAUACCCUUAGCCAUUUAAUUAACAUUAAAUAGAUCACUUAAUUGAUGGCUAAUUAAAUAAUAGCACACACAUUUUAUUUGUUUCAUGUGUGGCCCCAAAUAUUAGAUUAAUUAAAAUUAAUCUAACAAUGUAUUGAUCGGCUCAAAAUUGUGAUGAGUUGAGUAAUAUCUUCUGCCUCUCUAGAACAAAAUGCCUUCCAAGACUUGAGAGAAUUGCAGUUAUUAAUUGCAGGAAGAUGAAAGAGAUUUUUGCAAAUGGGGGAGAAGCUGAUGUUGACAACAACAAUGCAACUGAGAGGAUACAGUUUUCUCGAUUAAGAUCUUUGAGUCUGGAAAAUCCUCCAGAGGUUACAAGUUUUUUCCGUGAAGUGAAGACUCCUUCAGCAUCACCACACAGACGAGUGCCGGAAGAGGAAUUGACAAAUUCUUGCUCCAACGAAAUCAAUUUAGAUAGUUCAACUCAGCUUUUCAACGAGAAGGUGCAUAGGUUAAUACUUUAUUUAUUUAUAUAUGAUUUUAUUCUAUUGUGCAUUCUCUUUUGAUGUCAUACGCAGGAAAUAAUUAAAUCAUUAAAGAAUUAAAAGAAAAUGAUAAAAAGCAAAAAAGAAUCUCACGCACUUGCUAAUGGAGCUCUUAGCAAGUAAUAUGAAUUUGAUUGUAUACUCAGCUGUCUGUUGGAAAUUGAUUCUGACUUGCUUUAAUUUGUAAUAACAGAAGAAAAAUUUCAACAAGUGCUUCUUAUAUGGUUAUUGGUUCUAACGAGAAAUUUAUAUCUUUUUUAGGUGGAGUUGCCUAACUUGGAGGCUUUUGAGUUGUGUUCAAUUAAUGUCGACAAGAUUUGGCACUACAAUCAUCUUCCGUUCAUGCUUUCUCGCUUUCAAAGUUUAACACGAUUGAUUGUGCAGAGCUGUCCCAAAUUAAAAUACAUAUUUUCAGCGUCUAUGAUCCAAAGCUUUGAGCUGCUCCGAGAACUAUCCAUAGCGGAUUGUAGGGGUUUGCGAGAGAUCAUUUCGAAAGAUAGAGCAGAUCAUGUGACCCCUUGUUUUGUCUUUCCACAGAUGACCACUUUGAGACUCGAAAUUCUACCAGAACUUAAAUGCUUAUACCCUGGAAUGCAUACUUCGGAAUGGCCAGCACUAAAAACUUUAUAUGGGCCUCAUUGUGACCAAUUAAAGAUAUUCGCUGCAGAUUUAUUGCAGAAUAAUGGGAAUGAUCAACUUGGAAUUUCCGCACAACAACCCCUAUUUUUGUUCGGAAAGGUAUGAAGUCAUUUUCUCGAUUUUUUAUUAAUUAGAUCAUUGACGACUUUUGACUUUGAAAAAUAUACAAAACAUCGAUAAAUUAGUACUUAAUAAAUUGAAAACUUCCAUUACAUAAUAAUUUUUGCUAGUUUGGACAAAGGGAUCAAUGUGCUAAAUUAAUAAUUCCAUGAACUUCUUUAGGUGUAGCAUUAUAUUAGUUUUGUCAUAUAUAACCACUUACAAUAUAAAUUAAUAAUUUACUAUUGUGGAAUAAAAUAUUUUCAUACCAAUUUAUAAAUCAAUCAUUUUUUCCCUAAUUUCUCUCUUAUCUCUAAAAUUAACAUAUAAAAGCCCUAGAAUGAAUUUUAUCACUAAUUCAAUUUUUCCGUACUUUUUUUGUAAAAUAUAACAUAAAAGAAAUACUAUAAAGUCAAUGUGUAUGAAUGGAUUACUCAAAAUUAUUUGAGAGCACAUCAAUUGACCUAAUUAGUUAUUACGUGAUUGAUGAUGACCAGACCUUUCCCAACUUGAAGACACUAUCAUUACGGGGAAAAGACGUGAAGAUGAUUUUUGCAGGCUAAUUUACCACAACACCUUUUUGGUAGUCUUAAAGAACUACACAUAACUUUUAAUUGGUUUGACUGUAUCAAAAAGUCUUGAUAUGCGUCUUAUGAUGUUGUGAUAGCUUAUCUAUAUGGGUCACUUGACACGGAUAUAUGUAUGAAAAUCCCUUAAGGAUUUAAAAUGCCAGAAUCUUGUCAAUCAUCACAUCGUGGCUUGUAUUCAAUAAAGCUACAAAAGUCUUUAUAAGUAUUAAAACAAUCUGGAUGCAUGUGGUAUAAUCGCCUCAGUGAAUAUUUGAUAAAACUAUGAUACGUUAAUGAUCCUAUCUGUCCAUGUGUUUUUAUCAAGCAAUCAAAAUUUGAAAUUACUAUUGUCGCAGUUUAUAUUGAUGAUUUGAAUUUAAUAGGAACUCCUGAAGAGCUCCAAAAGACCGCUCAAUGUUUGAAAAAUGAAUUUGAAAUGAAAGAUUUAGGGAAAACUAGGUAUUGUCUUGAGAUGCAGACCGAGCACAGACUUAAUGGUAUAUUUAUCCAUCAAUCAACUUAUACUGAGAGAAUUUUAAAACGUUUCAACAUGGAUAAAGCUUACCCAUUGAGUACCCCAAUGGUAGUCCAGUCUCUUGAUCCGAAAAAAGAUCCAUUCCGUUUUAAAGAAGAUGAUGAACAGAUACUUAGUCCUGAAGUACCAUAUCUAAAUGCAAUUGGUGCUCUGAUGUAUUUAGCACAAUGUACUAGACCAGACAUAGCAUUUUCUGUUAAUUUGUUAGCUCAAUUUAGCUCUGAACCAACUAGAAGACAUUGGAAUGGUGUCAAACACAUUUUUCGUUAUCUUCUAGGAACAAUUUGAUUUAGGUUUAUUUUAUUCUAAUGAACUAACAAAAAAUCCAGGUCUUGUUGGUUAUGCUAAUACAGGUUAUUUAUCUGAUCCCCAUAAAGCUCGUUCACAAACAGGAUAUAUUUUCACUUUCAAUGGUACAAAGAUUUCUUGGAAGUCUACAAAACAGACUCUCGUUGCAACAUCCUCCAACCAUUCUGAAAUUCUUGCACUACAUGAAGCCAAUCGAGAAUGCAUAUGGUUGCGAUCUGUAAUCCAUCAUAUUCAAAGUACAUGUAGAAUAUCUUCAAGUUCAGAUAUCCUAACAGUGAUAUAUGAAGAUAAUGCUGCAUGUAUAGCUCAACUCAGAGGAGGAUACAUUAAAGGGGACAGAACAAAACAUAUUUCACCGAAAUUCUUCUACACUCAUGAGCUCCAACAGAAUAAGAAGAUUAAUAUCAAACAGAUACGCUCCACGGAAAAUUUAGCUUAUAUGUUUAUAAAAGCUCUACCUACAUCUACGUUCGAAAAAAUUGUAUAUGGCAUCGGCAUGCAUCAUUUUAACAAACUGUUAAAUUAAUACAUGUUGCCUUCAGGAAGAGCACUCAACAAGAGGAGCGUGAUCUUACAAGAGAAGAAUCGUAGUAAUAUUGGACACAUAUAUACUGUACUCUUUUUUUUCCUUUUGACCAGGUUUUCCCAUUGGAUUUUUACUGGCAAAGGUUUUUAAUGAGGCAGUAUCCAAUGUCAUUAGGGGGAGCACAUCUAAUGAAUAAUUGGUGAAUCUAAUGGGGAGCGUUGUAAAUCGUGAUGGAUUCCACCAAAAUAAUGCUCUCCCAUUAUCUUCUUUAUUGCUCUUCCCCUUUUUAUAAUUAAUAAUUGUGAAUAACCCCACCUUCUAAUGCCUAUAUAUACCCUUUCUUUGCUAAUGAAUGAAUACAAUUCAAUUUCUUGCUCAAAGCAUUUUGCUUGUUUUCUUCAAUAUUCAUUUGAGUAUUCCUUACUUAAAUAUCAUCAUUAAAUAAUUGCUUACACACAACUCCUUUAAAUUAUAACAUCCAUUAUCUCCGAAUUUAAAAUACUUUCAACAAUUUUUACGGAUUCUGGCAAUUGUUCACGCAACUAUUUUAAUCGAAAAUAUAUAUGGCUCCAUAAACAAUGAUUAUCUCUUGACAGCUGUUCUGCACUUGCUUUUUUUUUUUUUUUUUGAAGAAAGGAAGAAAUUCAUUAAACAGACAAAUGAGAAAAUAACCAGGGUGGUGGAACAUGUCUCCAUUCACCCGGACCUGACACAGAACACCCCACCUUAGCCACAACAUGGGCGGCGGUAUUCGCAGAUCUCCUUACAAAAGAGAAAGUCACCUCUUUUAAGCAAUGAGCCAAGGCUCUACAAUCUGAAAUAAUAAUACCAAAUCCGUUUUGAUAGUCCUUGGAGUCAAUCAAAGCAUUAAAAACUUGUAAACAAUCAGUCUCAAUAAUAAUAGGAAAAAACUGGGUGUUCUUAAGCCAACUCAAGACCUCUCACACACCCAAAGCCUCUGCCUCGCGAGCUCCAAAAUUGCCAAUCAAAGAUCCACAUUUUGCAGCAAGAAAUUGACCCUCAGAAGACCGGAUAACUGCGCCUUAGCUAAUCCUAGUAGUAGCGCGGGAAGUGGCAGCGUCCACAUUGCAUUUAAACCAUCCAACGCGAGGGCGUUUCCAGCAAAUAGAGCCAAGAGUUAAAUCUGCUGGCAUCUGAGUAAAGUGACUCAGUUGACGAGCCUUUUGCCACUGGAACAAGUCUUGACCAGCUUUAUUGAGCACUUGAGACACUCUGCCUACUACAUGCCUCCAAACUUUAGUAUUCCGAUUCUGCCAAAGACCCCAGUAAACCAUUGCAGCAAGACAACUAUCCUCAAUACUACACCGAGUAAAUAAAGCAUCCAACCAAGCACCAAAAUUCACAAAAUUUCCAGCAAAACCAACCAAGGAAACCAUCCAGCAUUGUUUGGCAAAAGGACAAUCAACUAAGACAUGAUAAAUUGUCUCAAGAGAUUCAUUAUAGAUAGUACAAUAAGGGUGUACCUCGACUCGACGACUGAGAAGGUUAUCAGCAGUGGGAACCACAUUUGCCACAGCUCUCCAAAGAAAAUUCUUGAUUUUGGCGGGCACAGCCAGCUUCCAAAUCUUACUCCAAACUCCACUGCCAGGCGGUUCCGAUAUAAUAUCCAUCCACUUGUAACAACUUCGAACAGUGUAAACUCCUUUUGCGUCAGGGAGCCAAUACCAAGUAUCACAAUCCCUCCGAGAGCUAAGAGGAAUUUGGAGAAUGCAGUCUCGAUCUCUUCUGUUAAACACAUCCUUUACAAGGUCAUAAUCCCACCUUCGGUGAUCAGGAAUCAUAAGACUGUUAACAUUUAUGUUUCAUAAUAUUGAUUUUGAUGAUAACAAACAAGAUUAAGAAUAAUUAAUCUUUUAGGAUCAAAUUAUUUUUUAUAUAUUUUAAAUAAAUCAUUAUUUUCACAUUAUAAAUGUUUUAUAUUUAAUGAAAAAAUGAUUUUAAGAAAAAUGAUUGUUUAAAUACAUGAAAUGUUUGUCAUCAUCAAAAAGGGGGAGAUUGUUAACAUAUAUGUUUCCAUAAUAUUGAUUUUGAUGAUAACAAACAAGAUUAAGAAUGAUUAAUCUUUUAAGAUCAAAUUAUUUUUAUACAUCUUAAAUAAAUCAUUAUUUUCACAUUUUAAAGGUUUUAUAUUUAAUGAAAAAUGAUUUUAUGAAAUUGGUUGUUUUUCAAAGUUUAUGGUUUAAUUAAAAGAAUUUUUGAAAACUUUGAAAUAAACAAGUAUUGCUUGAAAUUCUGGUAAAGGACUUAUUUGAAAAGUGUUAUAGCAUUUUGGCUAUAUCAUAAUUUCAGAAAGUUUUGGGAUUAACAAAGCAUUACUUAGAAAUUCUGAAAUUGGACCUAUUUGAAAUAUUUCAUAACGUUUUGGGCCUUAGUACAGUUUUAUAAAGUUUUGGGGUCAAACUAUAAUUUCAAAAAAUAGUGCACUGUGCAGGUUACUGUAGCAAGCGGCUUACCGGAUUCUAAAAACCGGAAAUCCGGAUUCGGGGCAGUAAGCAUCCGAAACGCAAACGGCUAACCGGAUGUCCAUAAACGGCAAGCCGGUUACGACAAAAAAUGUGCAUAACGGCUAGUUUUUGAGUUCAAACUAUAUAAACUCAAAACCAAUUCAUUUUUGGUAACUUAAGCAAGCAAGAACAAGUGCACACAACAUAUAUUGAGCUUCAACUUCGUGAAUCAUCAUUCAUUAAAUCAAAGUGCACACAACAUAUAUUGAGCUUCAACUUCGUGAAUCAUCAUUCAUUAAAUCAUCUUUGUUCUUCAAUUUGUAUAUCCACUCUUAAAGAGAGUUUCAUUGUUGUAUUUAUCAUUUCUCAUAAAAUUGUGAGAGUACAAGUGUGAGAAACACUUAGAGUGAAGAGAUUGGAGAGAUAAUCUCUUGUUGUAAAGGUUUAUUGACACCUCGAAGUCAAUUGUAAUCGUUGAAGCCUUGGAAAGGCUUGGAUAGUGAAAUCCUCAAGCGGGUGAGCUUGGAGGCGUGGACGUAGGCGGGGAUAGCCGAACCACGUAAAAAUCCUUGUGUUCAUUUUCUCUUCCCUUACUCUUUUAAUAUUGUGUUUAUUUGAAUUUAUUGUUUUCGAAUUGAUUAAGGCAUUAGAUUGAAUUGUUGUGUGGUUUGCCUAGGAUAAUUUUUAAAAUUCCAAUUCACCCCCCUCUUGGGUUGCACACUUAUACCUAAUUACUCACAGGAGCUGAUGCUAACGUCGCUGGAAGAUUAGUUGUAAUAAAGCCACUCUCCUGAUCAGGCAGCUAGGGAACCAAGCCAAUAGGAAUGCUCUGUCCACUUCCAACUUGGACACGACUCCCUUGGAUUAAAAUCUUCUGAGCAGCCAAAAUCGAUCUCCAUGCAUAACUCGGAUUACUUCCCAACUUAGCUUGAGUGAAGUCUGCAUUAGGCUAAUACCGUGCUUUAAAUAAUCUGCCCACCAGCGAAGAUGGAUUUGUAAUUAACCUCCAGCCUUGUCUCCCUAGCAUAGCAACAUUAAAGUUGUGGAUGUGUUUAAACUCAAUACCACCAUAAGAUUUGGGCUUACAAAGUUUUUCCCACUGCAUCCACUUAAUUCCACCACUACCAUAUCUUUUACUGCCCCACCAAAAAGAAUUCAGCAUCCUUUCAAGUUCUCGCAGAGGUCGAGAGGGAGGAGGUAAACUUGCAUAGCAUAAUUAGGUAUGGCAUGUGCCACAGUUUUAAUUAAGAUUUCCUUUCCAGCUCUAAAGAGGAGUUUCUGAUGCCACCCUUGAAUUCUCUGCCAAACUUUAUCCUUUAUAUAUCGGAAAAUAUCUAUCUUCUUGCGCCCAACAUAUGAUGGUAAUCCAAAAUAGGUACCAUGGUCUGUAGUAGCUGUAACUCCAAGUUGUUGACAGAUAUUAUGAACAGUAUCCUCAGCCAUAUUCCUACUGAAAGAAAUUGAGGAUUUAUUGUAGUUCACUUGCUGCCCCGAAGCUGCUUCAUAAGUUGUCAAAAUCUUUUUUACCAGGUGAGCCUCCUGAACAGUAGCUUUAAAGAAAAGAAAGCAGUCAUCAGCAAAAAAGAGGUGAGAAACCAAAGGAGCACCUCUAGCAACUCGAGCCCCAUGGAUCAUCCCAGCCCUCUCAUAGUGAUUUAUCAGCAAACUCAGCCCCUCUGCACAGAUGAUAAACAGAUAUGGCGAUAGCGGAUCUCCUUGUCUAAGACCUCGACUUGGCACGAUAGGGCCCAGCUCCAACCCUUCCCGGGUAAUUUUGUAGGUAACUGUAGUGACACAGAGCAUAAGAAGAUUCACCCAAACAACAUCAAAUCCCAACUUCAGUAAAAUCGAUCUAAGAAACCCCCACUCAAUCCGAUCAUAAGCCUUGGUCAUAUCGAUCUUUAAUGCAGCAAUCCCCUCAUUUCCUUGACGUUUCCGUUUGAGAAAGUGCAUUAUCUCAGCCGAGAUUAAAACAUUAUCAGCAAUAGCUCUACCUGGAACAAAAGCACUCUGAGAAUUGGAAAUUAUCGAUCCUAAAACCAUCUUCAUACGAUUAGCAAGCAUCUUGGCUAUAAUUUUAUAGAGGACAUUACAUAAGGAAAUAGGUCGAACAUCAGUUAAGAAUUCUAUAUGUUUCUUCUUAGGAAUAAGGACAAUGGAAGUCUCAUUAAAACCCUCAGGAAAAGAACACUCCCGAAUGAAUCUAAGACACGCCUCAGUAAUAUCAGUACCCACAAUAUUCCAAAACUUUUGGUAAAAUGCUGGGUUCAUUCCAUCAGGACCAGGGGACUUAUCAGGGUGCACAUCAAACACGGCAGAUUGAACAUCUUCAGCAGUAAAAGGUUCCAAAAGAGCUUGAUUUUAUACAUCAGUAAUUUUAGCUUCCACACAACUUAGCACAUCAUCAUAAGAACAAAUCCCAGUAGUAAAUAAAGUUGUGAAAUACUCACGAAUUAAAUUAUUUACAUCCGCAGGAUUAGUACACCAUUGCCCCUCUUGCGUGCGAAGCUUAAUUAAGGUAUUCUUACGCUUCCUUGAUGAGGCCAUGGCAUGGAAAUACUUUGAGUUUAAAUCCCCAUCCCGAAGCCAAAACAUCUUCGAACGCUGCUUCCAAUAAACUUCAUGGCUAUGCAAGAGCUCAUUGUAUCUAUCUCGAGCUUCAGUAAAAUCAGCCAAGCUAACUGUAUCACGCUUGCCCCGAAGCUGAUUCAUUUUAUCCUUGCACUCCUUAAUUUGAACUUUGAAAUCCCGAGUACGAUGAUAGCCCCACCGAACUAAAUCUAAGCUGCAAGCCGGAAUUUUACUGAGAAUAGGAAGCCCACUCGUCAUAGACCAACUCUUCUCAACAAUAUUAGCACAAUCCGGAUUUCUAAGCCAUGAGUUCUCAAAACGAAACUUCAUUGACCGCCGUCUCAAAACCACAGGAGACACAUCCAAAAAGAUAGGGAGGUGAUCUGAACUCGAAGCUUCAAGACACAGAACCUUCGCUUGCGGGAAAAGAUUCACCCAAGCCGAAUUUGCAAGGGCUCGAUCUAACCGUUCUUCAACCCAAGCUUCAGUGCCCCGUGACCGUUCCCACGUGAACUGGUAACCAUCCAUACCCAAAUCAAUGAGGCCCGAAUCUGAAAGGGCAGCCCUGAAACCAUUUAUCUUCCACUGCGGGUGGGCAUGAGAGCCGCGGUUCUCUGAGGAAUUGAGAAGGUCGUUGAAGUCCCCUAGGCAGACCCAUGGUAACGACGAAGAAGAAGCUAGGUACCGGAGAAGAUUCCAAGAAUCAUGUCUGCGAAAUGACUCGGGAAACCCAUAGAAACCCGUAAGUCUCCAGAUGCCCCUUUCACUAUCCUCAACUGCAACGUCUAUGAAAUUACGACCAAACUUCAAUAGUUUAACUUUAAAACUAUUUUUCCAGAACAUAGUAACCCCACCACUACGACCCUUUCUAUCCACCACAAACAAACCCUCAAAGCCUAAUUUAAUUUUGAUGCUUUCUAACUUAUCUCUGUAACAUAAUGUCUCAAUCAAAAAAAUAAAGUCCGGUCUUUUAUUAUGGACCAACUCAACAAGAGCUUGAACUGACCGUGGGUGGCCCAACCCACGACAAUUCCAACUUAAACAACUCAUUGCUGUCGGUGGGCCUGGGAUACAGGGCCCACCGCUGGUCCAUUUUUUGAGUGCUCACUCAUCUCUAUUGUCUCGUUAUCAGCAUGCUCUUCUAAAGUCAAAUUGAUAGAAGGCCCACCUCCUGAUCUUCUCCGUUUUGCAUCAACUAAAAUUAAUGCAGAAUUAUACUCCACAUCAGUUUCCUUCACAAGCAUCGAAUGAUUAGCUAUUAGUUCCUCGUCAAUUCCAGCUACACACGUUGACUUACAGCCUGUUACAAGAGUAUUAGUUUCCAUAGUAGAAGUCAUUGUGGCUUGAUCACUUUCCUUCCCAAGGUCUCCAUGACCAGCUGUCCCAUGAUUCACGCUAUUUUCCAAGUCAACUGCCAUUGCAACAGCGGAAGUUGAGGAAUUACCAAAUUUCACCUCAUCUAUCUCCAACACUCCCGAUCUGAGCCAAUGGUCACCAGUGUUCAUCGAAUUUCUCCGAUUGGGAGCCUUCAUCCAAGGGCCAUAAGGUUUUGUAACAGGGGUAGCAUCGGUUUCAUAUAUUGAAGGGCAAUUUAUAUCAGUGUGUCCUAAAAUGCCAUAGAUAAAACAAAAAUUGUGCAGUCGCUCAUACUUGAAGUCUACCCAUAACCACUCCCCACCCUCCCAUUUGAGGCGCAUUCGUCGUUUAAGAGGUUUCCUAACAUCAAUCGAAACCCUCAGCCUCAUGUAAUUACGCCAUACUCCUGUAAGAUUAUGUUCAUCAGACGCCAAAAAUUCACCAAUAAAGUUGCCAAUACUCUGUAAUAUUUUCUCGGAUUGAAAUCCAAGAGGCAGAUUAUACACUUGAACCCAGAAAUAUGUGUGGAAUAGAGGGAUAUUCUGCGGUUGUUCAACUACCCCAAGUCUCCGAAUGAUAAGAAUAUGCUGGUCAAAAGUCCAGGGACCAGAUUCAAGAACCCUCCUCACAUCAAUUUCAUGAAAGAACUGGAAGAGAAAAAGCGUGGGAGAUAAAUCCUUAAUACAAACACCACGCCCAGGACGCCAUAACGAAGCCAUAGUAUUUUUCAUGGCAAUAAAGUUCACUACUUUAUCCGUGAGAAAUCUUCCCACAAGGCAGAAUUUGGAAUCAAGGCGGAUAUCCCCAGGUUCACCAAUAUCUCCUCUCCAGCCACAAUCAAACCACCCUCCUCCUCUUCGUCAAGUUGCAGGCGCGCACAGAUGUUGCUCAUCUCAGAUGCCGGAGUAUUACUUGAGUUGGCCAUGGAUUAAAGAAAGAAAGGAUCGAAUCCGUAGACAGUAGAGAAAUAACAAAAGGAGACCAGAUUUUACUUGUCAAAAGACAAGACACACACACUUGUCAAAAGACAAGACACGAAUAAUUUUCCCACCUUAAAAGCUGGAAUAUCUUGGAACACUCUAAUGCACACUCGGUAAAAACAAAAGCAUGCUAAUUAAUAAACAUUUUUCACCAAAACCAAAACAGUGCUUGCCAUUUCUUUUUUGCACAGAAACCAAAACAAUGCUCUUAUCUUCCAUGCGGAACUUCCAGCAACUUUCACCGGCAACGGCUGGACAUAUUAGCGAUGGCUGGACAUUUCAGAAUGGAGACGGUUGAUGAAUGUGCGACGGGUCGGGUGCUGGUGGUGCUGGCAGUGGCAGAAAGAUCGCGCUUGGCGGGUGUUAAGUGAUACUAUUUUUGUAGCUUAGUCGCAGUUGCCGGAGAUACGUGGACGGCCAGCAAAAAGUACAUUAAUAUCUAUGUGUUUGAGAAGUUAUUCCAACCUUCUCUUAGAAUACUAUAAUCAGAUUUGAGUGGUUCUGUAAAUCAAGUUUGAACUAAUAAAUCCAUUCGGUGACUGUUAAUCCUAAGUACUAGUGUCGCUUGAUUUUUAUCUUAACCCGACACCGUGUGUUCUGCACUUGCUAUUUGUACUGAAAUAGAAGAUUAUCUCUUGAUGAUUAUUUAAUUGAAAAGAAUUUGUCGUUUAUAUUUGUUCACUGGCCUUUGGAUGAGGAUCACAUGUUUUAUGACAAUCCUAAUGUUGCUAAUGUAAGUCAAGCAAUUAUUUUUAAAUAAUGAUAUUAUAAUUAAAAAUCUAAAAACAUUUAUAAUACUUAAAGACUAAUUCAGAUUAUUAAUUUUUUUAUAUGACUUCAUUAUUAGCUGACAAAUAAUUAAAAGGCCAUAGAACAAUAUUUUUAGGUCCAAUUUUUACAAAACUUGUACUUUCAUUCCUAAGCUAAAAUAUAUCUAACCUACUAACAAUCAAGAAAUAUAUCUAUUCAACACAUAUUUGUUAGAAAGAUUAUCUACUAAUUAAUCAUUGGUUACGAGAUUAAUAUAUUGAAAUUCAGAACUUUUUUUUUUCCUUCUGCAGUUUAAAAAGGAGUCGCCCACGAGUAUUGAAAUAAUUUUAUCAGAUUCGCUUGAAAGUAGUUUUACGAGCAAGCAGUUUUUCCCUCUUGAUCCCCGUAUUCGUCAGCUCCUACUCUUUGCCUUCAAUUCUCAGUCAAGAAAACCUCUCCUGAUUUUCGUCUUUUGAUCUCAUACACACUUUGCUUCUAUUUAUCGUGGUCACUGCUCAUGCUAGCCGUUUUCUUAUUUACCUUCGUUCCCUUUCGCCAUCAGCUAUUUGCAUUUUCAUUGGAUCAAGCAACCCUUUUAUUGAUUCAAUUUUCUGAUCUAAAAAACACUUUGAUUUCCCUUGUUUUGUACAAAUAUCAUUUCUUUUUUCAACUUUGCCUUGUUUUGCUUCUACUUGAUUAUCAAUUGCGCGGUCGUUGACCCUGUUCUAUUUCUAUUCCGUUCACUUCCUCCCCCCCCCCCCCCCCAACAAAAAAAAAUGGACAUUUUGAAAAGCAUUGUUCCUGGAGUUGUAAACUGCUUGUCUCCGCGCGCACAACGCGAAUUUAGUUAUUGGUACAACUCCGCUGCCAACUUUGAGAAUUUCAAGGCAGAACUCGAUAGGCUCAAGGAUGAAAGAGAAAGCAUUCAGCACAGAGUUUCGGAGGCUGAAAGAAAAAGUGAAAAGAUUGAAAAGAAGGUUGAGAAAUGGGUGGUUAAUGCGAACAAGAGCAUUGAGCAGGCAGCCAAAUUCAUUCUAGACGAAGAGAAAGCAAAUGAACGAUGUCUCAUGGGGAUGUUUCCUAAUUGGAUUACUCGCUAUCAGCAUGGAAAGAAAGCAGAAACAGAGAAGGAGGCCUUUUUUAAGCUCCGAGAAGAAGCUGGGAGAUUUGAUGAUAGAAUUUCCUACCGUACCAUUCCGGAGGAGAUUUGGCUCAAGUCUCACAAAGGCUACGAGGCCUUCGAAUCAAGACGUUCUACUUUGGAGGCUAUAAAAAAUGCAUUGAUCGAUGUUGAUGUCAGCAUCAUUGGGGUGUCCGGCAUGGGCGGCAUUGGAAAGACGACACUGGUGAAGAAGGUCGCCAGGCAAGCUAUGGAAGACAAGCUCUUUGAUAUGGUGGUCUUUUCAGAGGUUUCCCAAAUCCCAGACAAAAAAAGGAUUCAACAGGAAAUUGCCGAGAAGUUGGGCCUAGAGUUGGGCGAGGAGGUUGAAUCCAGAAGAGCAAGUAGAAUAUUUGAGCGAUUGAGAGAUGAGAAGAAGAUCCUAGUGGUUUUAGACAACAUCUGGAAACACCUUGAUUUGGAGACCGUUGGAAUUCCUUGUGGAGAAGACCAUGAAGGAUGCAAACUACUGCUGACAGCAAGAGAUCGUAGUGUCCUCUUAAAAAUGGGAUCUAAAGACAACUUCUUGAUUAACAAUUUAAAUGAUGAAGAAGCAUGGAGAUUGUUUAAGAUGAUGGCCGGUGAUGAUGUUGAAAAUCGUGAGUUGAAAUCUACAGCAACAGACGUCGCCAGGGCAUGUGGAGGUUUGCCCAUUGCCUUGACUACAGUGGCAAAGGCACUGAGAAGCAAGAGUCUGCAUGAAUGGAAGAAUUCCUUGCGAGAACUCCGAACGCCUUCAAUGGUAAACUUCGAAGGAGUAUCUGCAGAGACUUAUUCAAGUAUUGAGCUGAGUUUCAACCAUUUAAAAGGUGAGCAACUCAAGAAAAUUUUUCUGCUCUGUAGUCUAAUGGAUAACCGUAUUCUUACUUCGGACUUGUUUAAGUACUCCAUGGGUUUGGGUAUAUUUAAAGGAGUCAAUAAGAUGGAAGAUGCACGAGACAAAUUAUAUGCAUUAGUCCAUGAACUUAGACACUCUUGUUUGUUGCUUGAGGAUGAUAGCAAUGAACAAUUUUCAAUGCAUGAUGUUGUUCGCGAUGUCGCAAUAUCGAUUGCAUGCCGCCACCAACAUGUGUUUUCGGUGAGAAAUGAUGAGGAUGUGUGGGACUGGCCAGAUGAGGAUACACUUCAAAAAUGCAAUGCUAUCUCUUUAAUAAAAAAUAGUAAUUGUGAAUUUCCUGAAGGAUUAGAAUGCCCAAACCUUGAAUUUUUAUAUAUCUCUCUCAAAGAUUCUUCUCGUGAAAUUAAUAUUCCUGGGAACUUUUUUGUAGGGAUGAAAAACCUUAGAGUUCUAGAUUUCACUCUAAUGCAGUUUUCUUCUUUUCCAUCUUCAAUUGAUCUUCUAGUAAAUCUUCACACACUAUGUCUGGAUCAAAGUUCGUUGGGGGACAUAGCAAUCAUUGGGAAGUUGAAGAGUCUAGAAGUCCUUAGCUUUGUGAGGUCUGAUAUUAAGAAGUUGCCCGAAGAGCUAGGUCAACUGUCUAAGCUAAGGCUGUU
rnacentral:lncRNA from 1 species